UGCAGUUGAUAGUAAUGUGCUAAUUCGAUAGAUUUAAAGCGUGUAGAGAGAAAAUCCCAUGCAUCAAACUGUGCAUGUAUAGCAUGAAUAGAAGUGUUACCAAGCCAGGUGAUAAUUUGAUGAUUCUUCAUGUAUAGCAUGAAUAGAAGUGUUACCAAGCCAGGUGAUAAUUUGAUGAUUCUUACUGUCCCAAUCUUCAAGGCGUUCAAUGAAUUUGCUAUCUUCUUCCUUGUCUUUGUCUUGUUUAGUUGGUUUAGUUAUGUCGCCGGUUACAAUGCGCCAUAGUUUUCGCCUAAUUAGAAAAAAUUUCAUUUGGUUUGCCCAAGUGAUAUAAUUUGUUCCAUCAAGUAUUGUGCUAAUGGGUCUGAUAAUGUGGUCUCUCUCCAUUGAAUCUGAAAAAGAAUUCUACUUGUAAGAGUAACUGAGUAUGCAGUACUGUAACGUGGGCGAAUCGGGUCUUAAGUCUUGAGUUGCGAACUGAUGUGAAUGAAGACAGAACUUGAAUCAGAUCUGCGAACGGACACGGAUGAAAACGGACGUGAAUCGGAGCUGAGAGUGAAUCGGACGAGAUCGGAGUUGAUUAUCGAACGAAAUCGGAGCUGGGUUCGUCGGAUCUGGGUUCGUCCGAUCUGCAGGAGACCAACGCGUGGAUCUUUGGACGGGGACGAACGCGUCUGAUCUGGUUAUCGGACGAAAUCGGAGUUGCGAACUGAUGCGGGCGAAGGCUGACGCGCAAUCGUCUGGGUUCGUCAGAUCUGGGUUCGUUUGAUCUGCAGGAGACCGACGCGUGGAUUUUUGGACGGAGGCGAUCGCGUCAGAUCUGAUUUACAGACAGAUCAAUGGCGAAUGUAAUGUUGAACGGAUCUGGAGAUGCUUCUCAACAGAGAUGGCUUCACGGCGGCGAUGGCAGAGAUGGCUUCACGGCGGAGGCUGUGGCUAUGCAGUAACCCUAGGUUAAAGGCUUGAUACCAUGUUACUUUACUAUUAUUUUAUUGAUUGAAUUGAUAUGUUUUACAUUGGUGUGACUAAAUAAAUAAGAGACCUAUAUAACCUAAAUAAGGUAACAUAUGUAAUUAAGCCUAUAACGAAGAAGUUAGGUUAAUAGUUUUUAUUUUUUUGAAAAUACAACUAAGAACCCUAACAUCUCCAAACACCCAUCUCGGGCCCAACAAGGUUAGAAAGUCAGGUUGGGAAAACAUAAGUCCAUGAAGAACACAGCAAAGCUGAAAGAGAUCAGAAGUACUUAUUUUGGCAACACUGCAAAUUUGAAAAUUAGUAUAAAACAAAGAUAAUGAGGAAGAAAGACGUGGCCACCUGACACGACUAAGCACGAUCAGACACAGAAGAAUCUUCUCCUCUUCAUUCUUUAUUCUUCCUUCUUCCUUCUUCAUUCUUCGUACGGUUACUUAAACGUGCACCCAUUUUCCCUCUCUACAUCCAAAUAAAACUCUCAAUUCACGAUUCAUGAUCACCCUCAUCACAAACAUUCCCCUUUUUUCUUCCUUCUUCUCCAGUAAUGGCCAUUUCUUUCCUCCACCGCUUCUCUCUCGAUCCCCAGCACUGCCGCUCCGCCGCUAAGUGGACAGCGCUAUUAACGCUAACCGCCGCCGUGACCUCCUUCGCUCCGGAGUUCAUUUUCACAAAUGCAACGUCGCUCCAUUCGUCCUUCUCCAGAUCGUGUGGCCGCGAUGGCUACAUCAGGAUCCCACUCGACCUUCCCGGCGAUGUUCUGUGCUUGCCGGCGAACAUGGUGAAUUGGUCCAGUUUUGAUUUCUUUGUACCUACGGUUUUUGCGGCUCUCGGAGUCGGCGUUUCGGCUUGUUUCGUUAGAUCCUUGGGAUUGUGAGAAGAAUCGUUAUAGAUAGCAAAUUUUAAGAUAAAAAAAGAAAUUAAAAUCAUAAGAAUUGUUUAUACUUGAUAAACUUCUUAAUCAACUAUUUUACUAAAUCUCUAAUAAUUGAAUUUAAAAAAAUAAUUAUUUGAGAUUUAGUUAGUAUUUCUUUUUUCAAUACUAUGUAUCUUUUACCUAUUUAGAUUUGUUCAAUUGAGAUGAAGUCAUGAGGUGUGAAUAUAUACGAGCUCCUCUUUGAUGCAAAUUUGUUUAUGUAUUUGUACCCUUUAUUCUCUAUAACUCUGUUUGAUUCAUCAAAAAAUUAAAUCAAACGAGAUCAGUCCGAUUGUAACCUCGUUGGAUCUUCAUAGGAGGAAACUUUUUCGGGAAUUGUAUGAGAUGGAAAAAUUAUUUUAUCACCCGGUUGGGUAAUUAGCAAAACUUGUACGGAAUACGUUUUUUAGCAAAAUAUUGACAGGUGACGUUUUAGUAAUUUCUAUUUUGCCUUCAAUUUAUGGUAUUUCUAGUAUUUUGCAAAUUAGUUUAUUGAAUUUUAUUCCAACUAAAUGUGAGAAAAUUGUAACAAAAUCUCUUCUUGUAUCCAUAUCCUUUAAUAUCUUCAAUUAGUAGUAUUACAUCAUAACUGAAACGGUAUUUAUAUAUUUAUUUACUAAUAUUUCAAAAUUAUAUAUUUAACUAAUUUAUAAUAUCUAUUUUUAGAAAUAUUUCAAAAUAUAUAGUUUUCAGCAAUUAUCAAAAAUAGCAAAUUUAACCAAAUAUUUACAAUAUAUAUACCAAAAAUAGUGAUAGGAGUCUAGUAGUGUCUAUAAAAUUCAAAUUUUUGCUAUAGCCUGUAAAUAUUUUAAUUUAUUUUGCUAUUUUAAAAAAUGCCUCUAGUUUUAAUAAUUUUUCAAAAUAUAGAUGUCACACCCUAAACGACAAUAUGAUCAAAUCUGAAGUAAAGGGAAUACGAUUCGAUUUAGUUACAACCUUGAAAUUCUCUUACCGACUAAUUUAACCUGUGGCCUAACGAACACCAAGGACAUUAUUGACAUUCUUAAUAAGAAAAACGCACAAGAGUUUUCUCAUCUCGCCGUAAAACCUUCCACUUACUUGUAACACCCCAAAAAUAAGGCAAUUUUAAACUGAUUAUCUUGGUUAAAUUGUUAAUGUUUGAAUUAUUUGGGGUGGAUUGAGAUUUUGGGUGAGGAAUAUCUUUUCCGUGGAGAUUGCGAUUAAUUAAAUAUUUAUGAAAAUAAUGUUUAAUUAAUUAUUGAAAUUGAAAAUUUAGUAUAACAACCCAACUUUUAUACUUAAGUUGAGGUAAUUACCAUUCAAAUAAAUAUAGUAUUUUUAUUUAGAUUAAAAGAAAACAUUUCAAAGAUUCAUUUAAAAUUUAUAAUAAAGUAUAAAAAGAAAAGCAUAAGUAAAUAUAAUACUAAAUAAACACUAGUUCGAGCCCUAUUCAAAAUAAAAGGAAAUAUUUAAAAGUAUUCGUGAGUUACGAAAAUAAAACAUAAAUUAUUGAUGAAAACUUAAACUCUUCCUUAGGAACCAAUAUCACUUAUUGUCAUUCGCCAGUUUGCUUUUACCUCUACCAAAAAUUAAACAUUUAAAAUAAUUAGUAUAAAUUUAGGCACUUCCAUUCUUUGAGGAUUUGAUUAAUUAGAUUUUUCUUUAUAAUUAGGGUUUGAUUAGUCUUUGAUUUUCAUGUAAUUUUUGUUAGAACAAUCAAUAAAUUGCAUCAAGAGUUCGAUGUUUAAUUCAAUUUUAUUGAAUUUUUUGAUUUUUUUUGUUCAAUAUUGGAAGCAAUUUACCCAUAGUAUUUCAAUUAAUGCAAGAUUAGUUGUUUUACUUGCUUAUAUACAAAAUUUCCAUCUUUCUUCAUUUUAUCUCUCCCAAUUUUAGAAUUACACAUAAUGACUCUUUUGGAUUUCAAAUUUUUUUGGGAUAAUUCUUGGGAUUAAAUUGCAUUUUUUUGUGCACAAAUUAAUUUCUCUUUGAUUUCUUGAAUUGAAUAUAAAGUUGUUGAUGAUCCAUCUUGUGUUUUCUUUUAAAGAAAAUAAUAAUGAGUUUAAUUAGAAUUGCAACAAUCAAACUAAAUCCUUUGAAAUUCUUUACUUGAUUUUUAAUUUUGAUUCAAGAGUUCCUUCCAAGAUCAAGCAAUCUUGAUCCUGGAAGGAACUCUUGAAUCAAAAUCUAUUUGAGGCCAUGCAUAAUUCAAUUUCCUUACUCCUAAAACUCCCUGCAUUGAACUCAAAGUUGAAAUAUUGAAUGUGUUUAACAUAUUAGUUGUGGCAUCAGUGAGAAUCCACACAUAUCCUUCGCUCAUCAUUCCCAGCUCGUUGGCUAUGCAUGCCAAAAACUCAAGUUCCCAAACUCUGCUCCACGUGGACUACAAAAACUCUCGUUUGCAUCAUCCCCGAUCUCUUAAGCUCUUCUUUGAUAUGAUUACUAGAUGUUGUAGUGUCGAUGAUAUUCCGGUUAACACGAACUUUUAUGUCCUACAAUAAGAUCAUAUAUAAGUAAUUAGAUAAUAUAGGAUUCUAUACAUUUUAUUUGGUAAUGAAAAGAGUAAUCCAUAUAUCUUAAACACAUUAAAACUAUUUUUUUCAAUAAAAAGGGGAUAAUUUUAUGUGGUUAUUGUAUUGCAUCCUUGAAUAGACACAUGAAAGAUUGUGUCGAAAAAACAACACAAGAGAGGCGAAUUUGUCUCUUGGAGAAACACACAUUCAUUUAAAGAUGGUUUUUCAAAAGAGAAGCAAUCAUUAAAACAUUCAUUCAAGUUUUAAUGGAUUUGUCUCUUGGGUAUAGGGGGCAUAAUCUUACUAAGAGUUGGUCAAUCUAUAUCUAUUAUGGCCAACCUUAAAAAAGAAUGAAUGUAUUUCUCUAGAAAUUAAGUUCAAGCAAACGUUUGUUUGCAACCAUUUCAAAUUAAAGCUACACACUUUAUUAGCUUUUUGUGUUUUAAAGAAUGGAUUGUUGAUUGAGCACUUAGUCCUUGUAUAUAUAUGGUGUGUAUAUUACAUGUUCCUUUCUCUUAUUUGCACCUACAUGCAAAGAGUCAAUGAGAUUUGCAACGAUCCAUUUUCCAAACUUAUUGUCUUCGUAGACGGCAAUGAUUUCCCUCAACCCGAAAACUUUAAGGAUGUCACUAAUGGCGUAAACCUGGGAGGAGAGAUUUUGGGUGACUCGGAAAAAGUAUGAAAAUUUGAGAUAAGAGAGAGUGGAAAUUUUUGGUGCAAAUGAAAUUAUAGGGACCUCAGCUUUGUCACCAAGCUGCACAAUGAAGUAUGCUUGUGAUGAACUUUCUGGUCCUAAAAUGGCUUCUACCUUGCUAUCAUGUAUUAGUUCCAUGGUUGUUUAAUUAUUGAAAGCAGUUGUUAAGCUUAAAUUCCAUUUUCGAAGAAAACAAACAAGACAUUAUUUUAUUUAAACCUUUAGUUUAUGUGCACUCUUAUAUCAUAUUUUAGUUUUAGUCAAUUCUUGAUUUUAUUCCAAUCCAAAUUAGCUCACGUAUCUUAUGAAAAAAAAAAGUGAGAUGAUCACUUGACAUUUUUUCAAUGUGGAAUUCUCGACUAAAGGGAUUCAAAUCCCUUAACCUUGUUUUUUUAAACGUUUUGAACUGAUAAAAAAUAAUAAUAAAUAUUAAAACAAACCUGCUGUAGCUACACCAAAAUUAGUUCGUUCCAUUGGAGUCCAUGGGAUUGAGAAUCAAUUUGGUCUUAUAAUAAUUUUGAUUGGCAUAAAAAUCAGAGAGCGUCAUAUUAAUGCAACUCAAACCCAUCUUCCCAACAACAUCAUUCAAAUCCAAAACCACACCCACCUUCAAGUUUACCGCCGCAACCGUUUUGUCCGCCUCUGCUGCCACUACCGACAGUACUAAUAUGUUAAGGAAGAGUGCACCGAUCUUCAACAUUUCAAAACCCAUGCCUUCCCUCAUUAUUGUUUGGUACUUUCUAUAUAUUUACCCCAACGUUCAGCUUUAUUAAUGGCUAGACCAUGCGCGUAUUCAUGUAGCUGGCUUACAAGACGUGGGAGGAACAAACUGGUUAAGUAUUACGUACGCUCAUUCCAAUUAAUUAUAUGAUCAUUAGUGUAAAUAUAUAUAAUACAUAUUGAUCAAAUAUUUAAAAAUGAGUGAGUCAUGAUAUGAUUAACUAGGAGAUUAGUGUGUUAACUCUCACACCCCCUCAGAUUAUCCUACCUAAAACUUAGGGUGAGUUAUUGACAAAUGAGGAGAAACUUUGAAGAGAUAAAGUAUUAACAAAAAUUGCUUAAUCUUGUGUAUUUUCUUUCUCAACUUGCUUCCAUCAAAGGUUACAAUAUCACUAUAUAUGGUGUCUCUCUAAAUUUCUUCAAUAAAUCACUAAUAAAAGUAAAAUUAAAGAGAACAAAAUAAUUAAGAUAGAAUUUCAAAGGAUGUAGUAAUUCUUGACCUUUCGUUAUUAUAACUGUCAUAACUUUUUUUUAGAUAACUUCAAAUGACUUGUAACUUGAACCAUUAGAAAGUACACAUUCGAGACAUCAAAAUCUAUAAGUCAUAUAUUUAAUUUGAAUGUCGUUUAAUCUCUCAAAUACCUUUUGAAAAACUGACACAGUUUGAGUUUAAUGCUCAACAGUUAUGACGACAAUAGACCUCGAUCAUGCAGUGGGGCUUACAGUCAAAAUUCUUUCUGAUCAACAAAUUUUCGCUGAAACUCAAGAGCAACCUAGUGGAAAAAAUAAAUUUAAAAUGUUGAACGAAUAAUUUAUAGGAAAAUAAUUUGAGGAGGCUGUGAUUCUAUACUAAAGUAUAGAAAUUCAAGUUCUAAUAAGAAAUUAAAAAACUUGGGAAAGUUAUUAUUACUAGAGAAUAUCAUAAGCAUUAUCUUGCAACUUGAUCAGAAAUUAGCAUAACUUUGGAGGCAUAUAUUCAUAAUUAAUGAUAUUGGUUUUGUAGGAUGAUGGAGCUAUGAUUGAGAUGCUAUAAUUGAAGUGAUUGACUUUGUUGUAAGUCAUAUAUUUUUCUGUUUCAAGUCAAAUACAUAUAUUGGGGUUUUAUAUAUUCAGUGUGUGAAUAAAUACAAGCUAUCUAUAAUUUAAUAAUUAAUUACUUAUUUUGGGUAGGAAUGGAAACACAUUUUCUCAAAAAUAUUUUAUAUAGUUAAUAAAUCCUGCUUAAACAUGAUUUUACAUUAAAAUCUUGAUUAAUACUUUUCGAAAAUAAUUUUUAUUUUGUCCAAAUAUAUAUAUUUUUUAUUUUCCUCAUUUCAUUAAAUAAAUUUAUUAAAAUAAACUUAUUAAAAAUUAUUUUAAUAAUAUAAACCUAUUAAAAAUUUCAUUUCAUUCUUUUCUCUUUUCAUCUUUCCCUUUCUCUCCAAACCCUCUCCAAAAAUAACUAAAAAAAAGAACUUGGAUUUGAUUGGCCAGUACGUAAAGAAUAUUAAAGGCUACCCGAGAAGGAAGAAGGCGGGAAAAGGAGGAAAGAAAAAUUUUAUAGGUAGCUAUAUUUUAUUUAUCUUUGCCUCUAUUCUCUUCUAGUAUUUUUUGCUUCAAGUAUAAUAUUCUCAUUAUUUGAGGUGAUAAGUCACUUAAAUAACUGAACAAACAUAUAUUUUAAUUCGAUAAAGAAAACCAAAAUUACUUGAAAUUAAAAAAUAUAUAUAUAUAUAUAUAUAUAUAUAUAUAUAUAUGUUGAAUCGGUAUGGCAACCCUAGAGGGGGUGAAUAGAGUUUAAAUAAACUUUUUGACAAAUAAAAAGUAAAAUCAAUUAAUUAGAUACUUUUUAAAUUUAAAUAAAGAAUUUUGUAAACUUUGUUAAAUAACAAGAUUGAUAAAAAUAUAUGAAUGGAAGUAUGCAAUCAAACUCAACCAAUAAGAAUAUGUAACUAAAAUUAAAUUAAAAAAUAAUUAGAAAAAAGUUAGAGAAGAAGACACCGUAAUUUUAUAGUGGUUCGGUUAAACUCAACCUACAUCCACUUUCCCAAGCACCUCUUGGGAUUUUGAUUGAAAAUUUCUUUGGACUCUUUCCACGGAUUUGAGCCGAACCGAUUCUUGCUCAUUUUUCGGGUUCAAGAGUAAACCCGAUUCUUUCCACGGGUUAGGAUCCAACCGUUACUAUAUGUUGAAGUUUUUAAAUCACACAAAAGAAAACUCUCUAAAAGAGUGAGUAUAGAAUUUGAAGCUCACAAAUUUAAUCCUCACAAUACAAUAAGAAGCUCUCAAGAAUAAGAUGAAAAGAAUAAAAAUUGGAAGCUUUAGAGAGAAUAACAAUGUUGGCUUUUUGCUUGAGGAUUGUAAAUAUUUAAUGAUCUUGUCUUUUAAAAUUUGGAAAAAGUGAAGUAUUUAAAAAAAGAGAAAAGAUAAAUUCAAAAUCAUUUUGGAUCAUUAGAUAUAAGUUAAAGAAAAAUGAAUGGUUGAGAUUUAAACUUAAUUAGCCGUUAGACACAAUACAAAUAAUAAUAUAAUAAUAUGUCUUUUCAAAAUAUUUUGUUUAAAAAGAAACCAAUAAAGCAACUUCACUAUCUUCUAAAAAAACUAGCCGUUAGACACAAGGAAAAAUAAUAAUAUUAAAGUCAUUUUCUUUAUAAAAGUCAAUAAAACAUAACAAAAAGCCACAUUUGUUACUCCUUCAUUGCUCCAAGUGACUUUGUCUAAUUGGUUCAAAUUGAAUGCUUGGUCGCCAUGUCACCAUCUCGGGUAUUUUUCGUUAAGCUUCUUUUAGCAAUAUUUUCUUCAUUUUAACUUCGAUUUGGGUGAUUCAAGAGGCGUUAGAAUCAUUUUUCCAAGCUCUACGAUAUGAUCUAGUCAAAUUAAUAAAAUUAUCAAUAAAAAAAAUCAGAUUUGUUAUCAUCAAAACAUAAAUUAAUUGAAUAAUUAAAAUAAAUUAAUUUGAGAUUAAGGGCCAAAAAGCCAACAAUAUAUUGUACCCAAAAACAUACCCUCUCAUCCCAAGUCACCAUUUUGGAAAUCCAUUCAUUUGAAAAUCCUCACCCCAAUUGAAACCCCCUCACACACCGAAACCCUCUGUCGCCGGCCGUCCACCUCUCCGUCCACUUGCUUCCAUUGUCGUCGACGACGUCUACCCACCCCAAAGAACCCCACGCGCGAAGUCAAUCUUUUGGAAACCCCGGCCCAUCCGUUCGAAACACUCACCUUCAUUCGAAACCCCCCCACACACCGAAACCCCUUUGUUGCCGGCCGUCCGCAACUCCGACCGCUUGCUUCCAUUGUCGUCGAUGACGUCUACCCACCCUAAAGAACCCCCACGCACGAAGUCAAUCUUUUGGAAACCCCGACCCAUCCAUUCGAAACGCUCACCUCCAUUCGAAAAAACUCAUUCGAAACCCCCCACACACACCGAAACCCUCUGCUGCCAGACAUCCACAACUCCGACCGUUUGCUGCCAUUGUCGUCGACGACGUCUGCCCACCCCAAAGGACGAGCCGCACGCGAAGUUAAUCUUUUGGAAACCCCUGCCCAUUCGUUCGAAACGCUCACCUCCAUUCAAAAAAAUCUAUUCGAAACCCCCCACAUUCAUCGUUCAUCGUCGGAACCCGAAGAUGCUGUCUCAUAAGACUUUUAGAAUGAAGAAGAAGCUCGCGAAGAAGAAGAGGCAGAAUAGGCCGACCUCGAACUGGAUCCGCCUGAGAACUGACAACACGAUCGAUACAAGGCAAAGUGCGCAACGUCGCACAAAGCUAGGGUUCUAAGGUGCUUUCGAUUCCUAACUUCAAUUGUCAUUUACCUUGAUUUUGUUAAGUUUCAGAAACUUGAAUUUUCUUAAGGAUCUACAUUUGUAUUUCCGCCACUACUGAAAUAAUUUAGUUUAUUGGAUACUUUUGUUUAAUCAUCUUUACACUCAAGAUUGAAGCACUUUGGAAUAGAGUGAAUUUACCAUGAAAAAUACUGAUAGGUGACUUUUAUUUCAAAGGAUAAGAUAUCAUCUUUAAAACUUUAACAUUUCUAGUCCAUUUGAAAAACAUAGGUUCUGGCCAUUGAUUUGGAAUUUUAGAUUGAGAGACAAAAGUUUCAUUCAUAGAUUAUGAUGAAGAAGAGGUUUUCUUGCCAUGAAUGUUGGUUCUUAAUGUUUCAUGUGUUUAAUUUUUUAGUUCAUGUUAAGUUUAGUCCUGUUUUAUCUUGUUUCUCAUUGUAUUUGCACUAUUUUAUAACUUUUUCAAAUUCCCUAUCAUGAGAGAGUUGACUCAUAUAUUAUUUUGUUCGAAACUUAGAAUCUUACUAUAUUCUUUGGGUGAAAUAGUUUACAAUAAUGGGUUUUUUCUAGGAACUUUAACUUAUUAAGUAUGUAAAGUUUGGUAGAAAUUAAAGCAAGUAGGUUAACCAUACAUCAAUUAUACAUUUUCUUGUUUGAGCAAUCGUGAUUUUUCUUUCUUUGUUCACAGUAACCUUCAAAUGUUAUGCUCUGUUUUCUCAAGUGAUUUUGGAUGCCAUAUUUAGACACGUUUCUAAGAUAAAUAGAUGAAUUAAAUUCAUUGUGGAUUUAAAGUAGUGAACAUAUAACCUGAAUUUAUAGGAUGGGGAUUCAUGGCUUUUUCCUCACUGUUUUUUUUCUGUCUUUGAUUGGUUUCUCUAUCAAAUUAUUAGGUGUUUAUUAUUUACAGGUGAGAUAGGAGCUUUUAGUUAUUUUUCAGUUCUAGGCUCAAGUUGGAUUCUGUCAAAGGAGUUUAUUAUUUACAGGUGAGAUAUGAGGUUUUGUAUGUCUAAACCAUGUCUUAAUGGAGAAAAAGAAAGAAUUCAUACCAAACCCUUCCACCAAGACCAUAGAGUUUCGUUGAAGAGACAUAAUACAUAACCAUCAGUCUAAAGCUACAACACUCAAGAGACAGAAUAGUUGAAUUGAAAUGUUCAUUAGGUUAGAAAUGCCAACAAAGUUAAAUGGUAUAUGAGAUGUGUUAAAUUCGUGAUCGGCUCAAAGUAAGUUCAUCAACAAUACAUAAUCUUUUCUUCUUCCUGUAUUCUUAUUACAGUUUCUUUUUAAUUUAUCAGUAUUUUUGUGCUUACUAGUGGUGAGUAGAUCUUAUACAUCUUUGAUUGGUAUUUCUAAGUGUUGUACUUUCGUACUUUUAAAAUAUUUCAUUUGGAUGUCAUAUACCUCUAAGCCUAAACUCUACAAUGACAAUGGAAGCUAUUAGGCUGUGUAGUAGGUGAUAAAUUUCAGGUUUCUCUUAGGGUGGAGUUAGAAGAGAAUCUGGAUGUUUUGUACACAAAAAAGGAGAGAGGGAAUAUAAAUGAUGAUUGAUCCCAUAAGCAAAUAAUGUGUUGUUUUGUUAAGGAGUCAAAGGGGAUUUAGAUGAAUGAGAAGGACAGGUUGGAAGGAGAGAUUAAAUUUAUGAAAUUUACGGACCAAGUUACCGUUGGGGGGGGGGGGGGGAUUACGUUGAACAAAAACAAUGGUUUGUCCAAUUAAAAAUUUCCAUUACUUUUAUGGUACCCUUAUUAUCACCAUUCGUCUCUUUUUCUAUCACAAGAGAUCCCUUCCUUGCCUUGCCUUUAUCCAAAUUAUUGUCUAUUUCUUGUAGCCAGUGAGUCCAUCUAGCUUUGCUUAAAAAUAUUAAUUACCCAAACUUUAACUACGCCCUAAUAAUGCCUUUUUUUUUUUUUUUUUCAUUUAACGUUUAAAAUCUCUGUGUUGGUAUAACGUACCACAACUUGUAUUGCUACAUCUUAUUUACUUUAAAUACAUGUCUUACGAGAUAACAUCUUAUUUCAUGAAUAUACGCACUUACAUUCUCACUUAGCUUGACUCUCUUUUUCAUAUUUCAAACUCACAAGUGAGAAAAAGUGUUGGAUAUUAUGUUAAAUUUACUCUCUUAUCCAUUAGCUUAAGCUUCUAUAUAUAUUGGUGCUUUCUUGAUACACUCAAAUAUGUUUCUCUCUUUUAUCACUUGUUUUCUCGACUGAUAUGCAUCAUAAGACCUUUUACAUGUCUUCAUCAACAUGAUACCUAAAAUACAAAGUUCAGCCUCUUUUUUGCCACUUCAUGGCAUGAGUAUCCCGGCCCAUUAGUCAUUUUUCUUGAAAACUUAAACCAGGUUAUGGAGGGCAUAUUUGAGAGUGUUUUUAGAACCUAGUUAACAAAAUUGAUUUUUAUUAAUAAAUGUUUUGUUAAAAGUGAUUUUCAUGCCAUAUUAACGUUUGUUUGUGUCUAUACUUUUAAAAGUGAUGUUGUAAUGUAGAAAGUAAUUUCCAAUGACUCAAAAACAUGUUUGGAACUUAACAGAGGUAGGAAAAAUUCAAAUGGAAAAAUAGACAUUGUAUGUUUGCUUGUCUGAUUCUUACUUGUUUUCUUUUAUUUAUUCUUUUGAAAAUUUGAUGAGAUAUGAGAUUAGUUUGUUGUUGAUUGUUCUAUGAUUAUGGUUUUGAUCUUAACUAUUUUUUUCUUUUUGUCUUUGGUUUUUUGUGUUGCUUUUGAUUCUAUAUGUUCUUAAUUUUAACGUUUUGUGUCUUUGUCGGGGGUGGAGAUUAGAGAUGCUUGUGUUAUGAAGAAGAUAAUGGAAGAAUUUUUUAUUUGGGUUAUGUGAGAUUGUUUUGAGUUUCAUUUUGCAUUUGUUGGAAUGAAAAGAAAAAUUACUCUGUUAUCUGUGCUUAGUUAAGUCUUAGUUAAGUCUACCUUGAUAUUUCUCAUAACACGACCCGUGACUAUCUUUUGAGCUAAUAGGAUCAGGCUUACUUAAGUCUACCUUCACAUUUCAAUUUAAUGAUUUAUUAUGUUUGAUUUUUCGUGAAUUUGUAUAACUUAAUGAUCUAUUUUGUUUCUUGCUUAUCAAAUAAUGGGAAUUACGAGGAGAUUUGUUUAACAUUUUAUGAGAAUGCUGCUGCAUUAAAGAUUUGAUUUUAUUGCUAAGUGUCUUCGUGAGAUUAUGUCUUUCGGUAGUGUUAAAAGAGCUGUUGUUUCUAAUUUUGGUUCAUUUCUUGUUAUAAGAGAUUGGUUUAAGACAUGGAAUAAAUGUAGUUCAUUUCAAGGUAAUAAUGUUGCAAAACUUUCUAAUAUUCCUUUACACAACCAUGUUUCCUUGUAUUCAGUCACCUUUAUUUUCUUGUGGCAGGCUACAUUAAGAUAUAUCAAGAUUGGAGACCAAAGUUGGGAGGCUAAAGUCGGUAGUCCGAGCGAAAGAUAGGGAGAUUUAAAGACAUUGACCAGUCAAUGCAGGUUUGCAACAAUUUUGUGAUUGUCUAUGUUUUAAGUUUACUCAAUUUUUAUCCAAUAAAUUUUGGAAGGGGUGGUGGGCAUGCAAUAAAAUUAGUUUACAGAAUGCAUCUAUUUAGUAUGGUGGAUUUUAUGAUAUUGAAGUUUUUUGCCAUUCUUUUAUUGAAUUAUUUUUGUGAAUUUUAAUUGUUGAAGUUCAUUGAUUUAUUACUUUAUUUGAUAGACAAAAAACCCCUAAAUUUUGAUUAGACAUGGUUUGAGUGAUUUGUUUUCUUAAGAUUCAUCCCUUCCAUUUUGUUUAGUUAAUUAUUCCUUGUUUGGUACAAUUAAUUUUGAAACCUUUUUAAAUUAUUUAAUUGUUUUUGUUUUUAUUUUUUUACAUGAAGAGCUUUUGUGAUCAAAAUCUUUUAACUUUGUUUUAUCGAUGAAUGAAUGAGAAUAGAGGAAGACCAUAGUAGUUCGCAAACUAAGUGAAACGACACGUUCUAACACUAUUCAUGCAUUGUUGAUACCACAAACUGACAAACAUUAGAUUUUCUUAUAAUGGACUUGAGAUGUGUGGCAUCUUUUAGAAACAUUGCAAUUUUUCAAUCUGAUAUGCAAGCAUGACUGGUAUUUUUGAAUCUCAUUAGUUUAUUACUCUUCUGGAUGUUUAUGAUGGUAGUUUGUGUUUACUCCAUUUAUUUCAUUUAUUUUCAUAAUAUUUGUACAAGUUAUAUUUUGUUUCUUCCUUAUUAAACAUAAUUGAUUUUCUUUCUUCAACUUGGCUUGCACAAGCUUGAGAUACUUAAGGCCAUGAUAUGUCAUGUUUCUACUUUUGUAGACAUCAAUGAUUAAUCAACCAUAAUUAGGGAGAACAAUUCUUUACCCAUAUUGUAGGCUGAGGGUCAAAUAAAGCUUCAUAGUAGAGUAGAUUUUGAAUUUUGAACAAGCGUGUGGUAGUGAUAACUUGUAAGUAAAACCCUAAACUUGUCGAUGCAAAACUUGUAAGUGUUAAGUAAUGUGACUAUACUUGACAGUCGAUUACUUGACGUUUUUAAAAACGUUCAGUAUACGUUUACUUGAUAUUGUAUUAACGUCAAGUAAACCCAUUUUUUUAGUAGAGUGGAGACAAAAAGAGACAAAUACAAAGAGUUUAAGUGUGCAUAAAGCACUAGAUAUGUUAGCAAUUACACAUUAAAAACAAUUACACAUUCUAUGGGAAUAUGUAGUUACACACAUCUCAACUGUAAAUGGUCUAAGGAACACCCAAGCACUUGAUUUUGAAUCUUCAAUGGGUGCAACUAUGAUCAACCCUUUAUCAAACCCUUUAAAUUUACCUAAUUGAAUUCCACUUUCAUUAGAGUCAAACACUUCACAUGUGAGUGAAAAUCUAAUGAUAUUUCCAUUUUCUUUAAGAAACUUAUCAACUGCCUUUGCAAUAAUUAAUAUUGAAUCAUAGGAAAAUAUUUAAAAUAAUGCAAGGAAAUAACAAGAACCUUAAAGAAACUACCUAACUUAGAAUAGUGUCGAAUGUCUCGAAAGUUCACAUUCAGCUACUGGGUGGUCUUGUUUUGAGUAAUGUUAGAGUUUUUUUGCCUACAAAAGUCGAACGAUGAUGCCCUAGACUUCACUUUUUAGUUCCAUCCCUAAACGCUGAAAAGGGGGCCACACUUGAUGUGGUCCCGAAAGAAACUACCCAACUUAGAACAAUGUUGAAGGUCUCGAAACUUCACAUCCAACUACUUUGUGGUCUCGUUUCGAGUAAUGUUAGAGGUUUUUUUGCCAGAAAAAUCAAACGGUGUUGCCCAAACUUCGCUUUUUAGUUCUGUCCCAAAACGUUGAAAAGGGGGCCACCAAUGCUGUGGCCCCGAAAGAAACUACCCAACUUAGAACAAUGUCGAAUGUCUCAAAAUUUCACAUCCAGCUAUUGGGUGGUCUCGUAUCGAGCAAUUGUAGAGUUUUUUUACGUACAACAGUUGAACGGUGAUGCCCUAGAUUUCAGAUUUUUGUUUGGUUCCAAAACGCUGAAAAGGGGGCCACCAAUGCUAUGACUCCGAAAGAAACUACCCAACGUAGAACAAUGUCGAAGGUCUCGAAACUUCACAUCCAACUACUUUGUGGUCUCGUUUCAAGAAAUGUUAGAGGUUUUUUUGCCAGAACGGUGAUGCCCAAACUUCGCUUUUUAGUUUCGUCCCAAAACAUUGAAAAUGGGGCUACUAAUGUUGUGACCCCGAAAGAAACUACCCAACUUAGAACAGUGUCAAAUGUCUCAAAACUUCACAUCCAGCUACUGGGUGGUCUCGUUUCAAGCAAUUGUAGAGCUUUUUUGCGUACAAAAGUCGGACGGUGAUUCCUUAGAUUUCAGAUUUUAGUUUCGUCCCAAAAUGUUGAAUAGGGGGCUACUGAUGUUUUGGCCCCGGAAGAAACUACCCAACUUAGAACAGUGUCGAAGGUCUCGAAAGUUCACAUACAGCUAUUGGGUGGUCUCGUUUCGAGUAAUGUUAGAGGUUUUUUGCAUACAAAAGUCGAACAGUGAUGCCCUAGACUUCGCUUUUUAGUUCCAUCCCUAAACGCUGAAAAAGGGGCCUCAAUUGCGGUGGCUCCGAAAGAAACUUCCCAACUUAGAACAAUGUCAAAGGUCUCGAAACUUCGCAUCCAACUACUUUGUGGUCUCGUUUCGAGUAAUGUUAGAGUAUUUUUGCCUACAAAAGUCGAACGGUGAUGCCCUAAACUUCACUUUUUAGUUCCAUCCCAAAAUGCAGAAAAGGGGGCCAUAAUUGCUGUGGCCUUGAAGGAAACUACCAGACUUAGAACAAUGUUGAAGGUCUCGAAUCUUCAUAUCCAACUACUUUAUGGUCUCGUUUCAAGUAAUGUUAGAGUUUUUUUGCCUACAAAUGUCGAAUAGUGAUGCCCAAACUUCGCUUUUUAGUUGCAUCCCAAAACGUUAAAAAUGGGGCCACCAAUAUUGUGGUCCUGAAAGAAACUAUCCAACUUAAAACAGUGUCGAAGGUCUCGAAAGUUCACAUCCAGCUAAUGAGUGGUCUCGUUUCAAGUAAUGUUAGAGUUUUUUUUUGCAUACAAAAGUCGAACAGUGAUGUCCUAGACUUCGCUUUUUAGUUCCAUCCCAAAAUGUUGAAAAUGGAGCCUCAAUUGCGGUGGUCCAAACAGAAGCUUUCCAACUUAGAACAAUGUCGAAGGUCUCGAAACUUCACAUCCAACUACUUUGUGGUCUCCUUUCGAGUAAUGUUAGAGUUUUUUUGUGAGAAAUAUCGAAUGGUGAUGCCACAACUUCGCUUUUUAAUUUCGUCCCAAAAUGCUGAAAAAGGGACCACCCACUGUGGCCCCCCGAAGAAACUGCCCAACUUAAAACAGUGUCGAAGGUCUCAAAAGUUCACAUCAAGCUACUGGGUGGUCUCGUUUCGAGUAAUGUUAGAAUUUUUUUGCAUACAAAAGUUGAAUAGUGAUGCCCUAGACUUCGCUUUUUAGUUCCAUCUCAAAAUGCUGAAAAUGGGGCCUCAAUUGCGGUGACCCCGACAGAAACUUCCCAACCUAGAAAAAUGUCGAAGGUCUCGAAACUUCACAUCCAACUACUUUGUGGUCUCAUUCUGAAUAAUGUUAGAGUUUUUUUUGCAAGAAAUGUCAAACGGUGAUGCCACAACUUCGCUUUUUAAUUUCGUCCCAAAACGCUGAAAAGGAGACUACCAAUAUUGUGGCCCCCGAAGAAACUGCCCAACUUAAAACAGUGUCGAAGGUCUCGAAAGUUCACAUUCAACUCCUCGGUGGUCUCGUUUCGAGUACUGUUAAAGUUUGUUUUGCUUGAAAAGUCGAACGGUGAUGUCCAAACUUCGCUUUUUAGUUCCGUCCCAAAACGUUGAAAACAGGGCUACCAAUGUUGUGGCCCCGAAAGAAACUACCCAACUUUGAAUAGUGUCAAAUGUCUCAAAACUUCACAUCCAGCUACUUGGUGGUCUCGUUUCGAGCAAUUGUAGAGUUUUUUUGCGUACAAAAGUCGAACGGUGGAGCCCUAGAUUUCAUAUUUCAAUUUCUUCCCGAAAUGCUGAAAAAGGGGGCCACUGAUGCUGUGGCCCUGGAAGAAACUACCCAACUUAAACAGUGUCGAAGGUCUCAAAAGUUCACAUCCAGCUACUGGGUGGUCUGGUUUCGAAUAAUGUUAGAGUUUUUUUGUAUACAAAAGUCGAACAGUGAUGCCCUAGACUUCGCUUUUUAGUUCCAUCUCAAAAUGCUGAAAAUGGGGCCUCAAUUGCGGUGACCCCGACAGAAACUUCCCAACCUAGAAAAAUGUCGAAGGUCUCGAAACUUCACAUCCAACUACUUUGUGGUCUCGUUUCGAGUAAUUUUAGAGUUUUUUUGUGAGAAACGUCGAAUGGUAAUGCCACAACUUCGCUUUUUAAUUUCAUCCCAAAACGCUGAAAAGGGGACCACCAAUGCUGUGGCCCCGGAAGAACUGCCCAACUUAAAACAGUGUCGAAGGUCUCGAAAGUUCACAUUCAACUUCUGGGUGGUUUCGUUUCGAGUACUGUUAGAGUUUUUUUUUGCUAGAAAAGUCGAACGGUGAUGCCCCAACUUCGCUUUUUAGUUCGUCCCAAAACGUUCAAAAGGGGGCCACCAAUUCUGUGGCCCUGAACGAAACUACCCAACUUAGAACAACGUCGAAUGUGUCGAAAGUUCACAUUCAGCUACUGGUGAUCUCGUUUCGACUAAUGUUAGAGUUUUUUUUCGUACAAAAGUCGAACUGUGAUUCCCUAGAUUUCAGAUUUUAGUUUCGUCCCAAAACGCUGAAAAGAGGGCCAUCAAUGUUGCGGCCUCGGAAGAAACUACCUAACUUAAACAGUGUCGAAGGUCUCGAACGUUCACAUCCAGCUCCUGGGAUGUCUCGUUUCGAGUAAUGUUAGAGUAUUUUUGUCUACAAAAGUCGAACGGUGAUGCCUUAAACUUCACUUUUUGGUUCCAUCCCAAAAUCCAAAAAAUUGUGGCCUCGAAAGAAACUACCAAACUUAGAACAGUGUUGAGGAUCUCGAAUAAUCUUCAUAUCCAACUACUUUGUGGUCUCAUUUAGAGUAAUGUUAGAGUUUUUUUGCCUACAAAAGUCGAAAGGUGAUGCCCAAACUUUGCUUUUAAUUUAGUUGCGUCCCAAAACGUUAAAAAGGGAGCCACCAAUGUUGUGGUCUCGAAAGAAACUACCCAACUUAGAAUAGUGUCGAAUGUCUCGAAAGUUCACAUCCAGCUACUGCGUGGGCUCAAUUCGAACAAUUUUAGAGUUUUUUUGCGAGCAAAAUUCGAACGGUGAUGCCCUAGAUUUUAGAUUUUAGUUUCAUCCCAAAGCACUUAAAAGGGAACCACCAAUGUUGUGGCCCUGACAACGUCAACGGUAUCAAAAGUUCACAUCCAGCUACUUUGUGGUCUCGUUUCGACUAAUGUUAGAGUUUUUUUUGCCUACAAAAGUCGAACGGAGAUGCCCUAGAUUUUGCUUUUUAGUUCCAUCCCAAAACGCUGAAAAGGGGGCAACAAUUAAUGUGGCUCGUUUUGAGUAAUGUUAGAGUUUUUUUAGUCAGAAAAGUCGAAGGAGAUGCCCAAACUUCGCUUUUUUGUUUCAUCCCAAAACAUUGAAAAGUGGGCCACCAAUGUUGUGUCCCCGAAAGAAACUACUCAACUUAGAACAGUGUCAAAUGUCUCGAAAGUUCACAUCCAGCUACUAAGUUGUCUUGUUUUGAGCAAUUUUAGAGGUUUUUUCGUAUAAAAGUCGAAUGGUGAUGCUCUAGAUUUCAGAUUUUUGUUUCGUCCUAAAACGCUGAAAAGGGGGCCACCAAUGUUGUGGCCCUGAAAGAAACUACCCAACUUAGAACAAUGUCGAAGGUCUCAAACCUUCACAUCCAACUAUUUUGUGGUCUCAUUUCGAGUAACGUUAGAUGUUUUUUUGUCAGAAAAGUCGAACGGUGAUGCCCAAACUUCACUUUUUAGUUUCGUCCCAAAACGUUGAAAAGGGGGCCACCAAUGUUGUGGCCCCGAAAGAAACUACCCAACUUACAACAGUGUCGAAUGUCUCGAAAACUCACAUCCAACAACUGGGUGGUCUCGUUUUGAGCAAUUUUAGAGUUUUUUUGCGUACAAAAUUUGUACAGUGAUGCCCUAGAUUUCAGAUUUUAGUUUCGUCCCAAAACGCUGAAAAUGAGGCCACAAUUGUUGUGGCCUCGAAAGAAACUAUCCAACUUAGAACAAUGUAGAAGGUCUCGAAACUUCAUAAGCAACUACUUUAUGGUCUCGCUCGAGUAAUCUUAGAGUUCUUUUUGCAAGAAAAGUCGAAAAGUCGAAUGUUCGAGUUCAGAAGCCAUUGAAUUGUCUUCUACCCACCUCAGUAUCGAAAAUUUUAAGGGACUUUCUGUCAUAACUGUCUGUGUUUUCAUAUUUUUUGCGAUCGGUUACCUUGUACUUUCUUAAUAAUUCCUUCUGCACAAUAAUAGCUGACUUGUUUUCCAGGUUCAUGGCUACAAAUGAAGAAGCUAUAUGUCACGUCCCACGAAAUGACCCCACUUUUUGCACCAAAACGUGCUAUAAGACUCCCAAAGGACCACCAAAGCGGAGCCAAGUGUCACAAUCAUAGGGUUUCAACCUCGAAACGGACGAUUGUGCGGCACUUGUUCUAACUCAACGAACCAGUCAGCCGAUAAAAAUCCUAGAGUUGUGGGUAACGCUGGCGUAUGUCGUAACCUUCCUUUGCGUUUGAGGGAAAUUUAUUUAUAAAACGCUGGAAAGAAAGAAAUAUAUUGAAAUAGAUGUUACGAUAAACAUUAAAGACUGUCAAUUGCAAGGAAAAAGGGUUGCUUGCAAAGAGUACAACUAAUGCUCGAGCGGGGAUUCAACUAGUAUGUCUCCCCUAUAGUACAUUUUGAACAUUUUCAACUCUGGCAGGCUUGCAUAUGAAAAUGUCGAAACAUCACACCCAAGCUUUAUGACCUAGAAUGAAAAGCAAACACCUAAACUAGUUAUGCAAACUAAAGAUGAGAUAAACUCGGGUAAUCAAAACAUAUAAACAAAGGUAAACACACUUUGGAAAAAUAUGUCCGUGACACACUCCCCCACUUAAACAGUUGACGUCCUCAUCGACUGGCAAAGCUAGAACCCUUCGAUCUUCUGCCUCCACGCUUCACGAUCUUUGGUACGUCUUCCACAGGCUUCUUCCAUGAGGAGGCUCUUCUACUUCAUCACGAACUUGUGUAUCCUCCCUGUGGGUCUUCUUCUUCGACUUUCGUUGGUUCCUCGUGUCCUCUCACGGAAAAAAUGGAAAAAAAGAAAGCAUUCAUUCCCCUUCUAUAUCUUGCAUCUAUAGUAUUUUUGCCCUGGUGGAUCUCUCUUUCAUUUAAUAAAAGCCUAGAAUCUUGGGUUACUAAUUGGUGGAAUACUGGUCAAUCCAGGUGGAGAUCUUCGUAUCUUUAGAAACCGUAUCUGUUCAGGUCGCGGCGUCACGAUGUCCUGACCUUCCACAUGAAGGUCCAACGGGCGAUGCUUCCCAUCUGCCCACCUUUUCGGCCGCUUUGAGACUCUCUCUAGAUUGGCUGGAACGGUGUCUGAUCUUCGCUUUCACUUCUCUGCAACGUUAUGAGUCUGAGGAUCCUUCUUCAUACAGGGGAAAUCAACAAGACGCGACAAUACAUGUUUUCUGUCACCAACACUCUUUGUUGGACUUCUAUCAGUAGAUGAUUUCUUCACAGCUGUAACACCAGGUUCUGUUGCCUCUAACGAACGACCCCCAUUCUUUUGCACUGACUUGUCGGCCUUUGUCAAACUCAUGCCAUAAUGAGCGAAAAAGUUUUCCUUCAUGGAUUCUUUUGACGCGUCUUGCAUUGAGCCAUCAGCUUUACAGGCCUGUGUACGCGCCGACACAUAUAAUUGCCCUCUGUGGCACUCUUCUUUUGACUCUCAAAUGCGAUAGGGUGUCCAUUCUGCAGUAGGACACCACUCAACGCAUGAUUACACGCCUCAGAGUAAGCUUCAACAAGUAGGGUCACACUCGCGGACCCAAGAGUUGGCCCUCUCCUCGGGGCUUGCUUCAGGGCACGGUUGUCGACACCCAACCGUCCUUUCUCUUCUUCACGAAAAAAGCAUUGUGCUUUAUACGGAGCUUUUGCAGGUCUAGUGAAUCCUGCGCACGACAGUCUCCUUGACUGUCUCCGGAGUCCAGUUGACUCCGACUGCGCCAAACGACACUCAUUCUUCGUUGGCGAUUUUGGCAUGGGCAAACUACCACGUUUCCCAUCACAACAUCUCUUGACGACACACAUUGUCUCUUCCCGAACACAGCCCUCUCUCAGUUGCAUGGCCAAGAUCGUUCUCAGUCCUUUGGGUUGCCAAAGGUCUGUCUGCACAACGGUGGGGGUAGAACCCGUGAUCACCAGACAUUUGGCUGCAGACAUUUUUAUCACUUGAUGUUCGAGAAGGAAUUCCAUUUCAAGAACUACAUCAAGGUCAUCCAUGCCUACAACAACAAAAUCAACGAAGCCGCUUCAUCCUCCCAACUCUAUCGCUGCCCGUUUCACUACCCCAUCGACAGGUAGAGCUGUAGAAAUCACGGCCUUCAUUUUUCCCGUAUCUUUCUUCCAAUGAAGGUUUAGUCGUCUGGCUUCGGCCAUCGCUAUUAAAUUAUGAGUGGCACCGGAGUCAACCAUAGUGCUCUUUGCAUGCUUUCGGUUGAUCCAGGUGUCAACAUAUAUUAGGCCCCCUUUAGUACGACCACUUGUCUCUCCCGCUUUCUUCUGAAGGGACGACAUGAGUCUUAUGGCUCCCACUCUAACAUUCUGAACUCCUUCUACAUGCCCAACUUCCUUCUCUGGUUAACACGACGUGUCAUCUGAGUCUGCAGCUAAAGAAGCCUGAAAGGCAUAGAAGGCAGUUUUAUCUGGGCAUUCCCUUGCCCGACAUGGUCCGUUACAAAUGUAGCAACUUAUAGAGUUGGAUAUCCGUUACAAAGUCUGUUACAUCUGAUGUGAGAUGUCCUCUGAUUAUUGGGCCUCUGCCCAAUGUUCCCCGUGUUUGGCUGGAAAGGCUUGCGGUCUCUACCAGGACUUCUAUUUCCACUGACAACUUCGAAAGAAUUCGGUCGGUUGUUUCUGUCUCUUCCAGGUGCAGUGCUUUGAUGACGUUUCGUCUCUUGAACGUCACUAGACAGAUCAAACAAGCGUUCAGCUGUCGCAUAAGCUGAUACGAGGUCUUAGGCCUUCUGCUCGUAUAGCUUAGUCCUUGCCCACGACUUCAGUCCUUCAACAAAACUAAAGAUCUUGUCCUUUUCAGUCAUGUCGAAUAUGUCUAACAUCAGCUAGGUAAACUGCUUCACAUACUCCCGAAUGGUUCCAGUGUGCUUUAACUCCCGCAGUUUUCAUCGAGCUAAAAUCUCAACAUUCUCUGGAAAAAACUGUGAACGAAGUUCUCUCUUCAAACUGUCCCAAGUGUCUAUUACGCAACGUCCUUCCUGAAUGUCAAAAUAUCGGGGCCUCCACCAUAACUUUGCAUCCUUAGAUAGAUGCAUGGUCGCCAACGUCACUUUGGCUUCCUCCGCCACGGUGUUUGUGGCUUUCAAGUACUGCUCAAUAUCAAAGAUAAAGUUUUCCAAUGCCUUCGCAUCCCUUGCCCCAUAGAAGGGCUUGGGUUCCAGGAUCUUUAUCUUGUCAAGUGUAAUCGCUCCUCCAGCUGGAGCUUGAUUGGUCAACGCUCGCAUCAUAAGGUUUACCUUCGUGUUCACCUCUACGAUUUCAUUUCUAAUGACAUCCUAGGUGGCUCAAAAGUCCUCUGACAUGCAAUUUAUCAUUUCCAUUAUAUCCUUCCGAGAGUUAUCUAGCUUCAUAACUCGCUCCUCCAUCUGGACAACAAAGCCUGAUGAACUGUCCCCACGCUCGUAGGAAACAUUUCCAAUUCUCUGGAUUUGUAACUCUAACAUGUCAACUCUAGCCAACAAAUCUUGUAUGGGUAAUCCAUCCAGGCGAUCAGACACCGCAUCAACAGCACCGGCUCUCCCGACAACUUUCUCAAGUUGUUCUUCCAUAAAUCAGAUGGAAUCAGGAACUUCCAUCAGGUGGAGCAUCUGCUCUUCGAUCCCCACCAAUCGUUCUUCAUGGGUCUUGCUCACUCGUUUUGCAGUCGACAUCUCUCUGUCUGAACUGUCAGCUAAUUUGGCUCUGAUACCACUUGUCACAAUCGUAUCGUUUCAACCUCGAGACGGACGAUUGUGCGGCACUUAUUCUAACUCAAGGAACAAGUCAGCCGAUAAAAAUCCAAGAGUUGUGGGUAAUGUCGAUGUAUGUCGUAACCUUCCUUUUGCGUUUUAGAGAAAUUUUAUUUAUAAAAAGCGGUGAAGAAAGAAAUACAUUGAAAUAGACGUUACAAUAAGCAUUAAAGACUAUCAAUUGCAAGGAAAAAUGGUUGCUUGCAAAGAGUACAACUAAUGCUCGGGUCGGGAUUCAACUGAUAUGCCUCCCCUAUAGUACAUUUUGAACAUUUUCAGCUCUGGCAGGCUUGCAUAUGAAAAUAUCUAAAUGUCACACCCAAGCUUUAUGACCUAUAAUGAAAAACAAACACCUAAACUAGUUAUGCAAACUAAAGAUCAGAUAAACUGAAGGUAAUCAGAGCAUAUAACCAAAGGUAAACACACUUUGAAAAAUAUGUUUGUGACACCAGACGCCCCCAUAUGCUUCCAGAAGGUCCUAGACACGCCCAUGUGCGUGCUGCCCCGCCCAUACUCGGCCUAGAUACCCAGAAGCUUUUAGAACGUCCGAGACCGAGUAUGGGCAAUGAAGGCUACAUGGGAUGAUAGUAGUGAAAGUGAAAGUGAAGUUGAAGAAAUGGCAAAUCUUGGUCUCAUGGCUCAUAGUGACAAAGAUGAUGAACAUGAUGAUAAGGUAGCUCUAGAACCUCUUUCUAUUGAUGAAUUAUUUGAAAAUUUUGAAAGCAUGCAAAAUGACCUAGAAAAACUUAGUUCUAAGUAUGUUGUGCUUAAGAAGAAAUACAAUGUUUUAAUUAGUGAAAAUAAGUCUUUACUUGAUACAAUUGCUUGCUUUAAAGAGAAUGAAAAUUUUGAGCAAAUUGAAGAAUUGAAUGUCUCUAGUGAUAAGCAUGUUUGUAUUGAGAAAGAUGCUUUGCUUGAUAAAGUUAGAUUUCUUGAGCAUGAUAGUUGUGAAAAAGAUAACUUGAUUAAAGUGCUUAAAGAAAAUGAACUAAGUGUUUUACAAGAACUUGAUAAAGCUAAAGAAACUAUUAAAAAGUUGACAAUAGGUGCUCAAAGAUUGGACAAAAUUAUUGAAGUAGGAAAAUCUUAUGGUGAUAAGAGAGGUUUAGGCUAUAUUGAUGAAUCAUCUACUCCUUCAAGUUCUAAAACUACAUUCGUUAAAGCAUCACCUAUUGUGCCUAAGUUUAACAUGUCUAAUCAUGUGUCUAAUCAUGUUAAAUCUAGUUUUGUACCCAUAUGUCAUAAUUGUGGUGUUGAAGGUCACAUUAGACCUAAAUGCUUUAAAUUGAAGUAUGCUCAAAAUACUUAUUCAAGAAGAAAUUUUUCGCAAAGAGCAAAGUUUUACAUUGCUCCAAGGAAGAAUUUCUCCAAUAAAAGUAGAGUACAUAAAUUUGUUAUGAAAAAUAAAUCUUUGCAUAAUGUUGUUUGUUUUUCUUGUGGCAAGUAUGGACAUAAAGCUUAUUCUUGUUACCUAUCUAGAUCUAGUGCUUGUAAUGUCUAUGAAAAAAUGAAAUGGAUCCCUAAAUAUGUAAAUGCUAACAUUCUAGGACCCAAACAAGUAUGGGUACCAAAGGAUCAAACUUGAAAUUAGUUGUUUUUAGGUUUGUUUGAAAGCCUCCAAGAAAAACAAAUGGUACUUGGAUAGUGGUUGCUCAAGACACAUGACGGGAGACCGAUCCAAGCUUAUCUCUUUCUCCAAAAAGAAUGGAGGCAUGGUAACCUUUGGUGACAACAAGAAAGGUAAAAUAAUUGGUAAGGGUAAUAUAGGAAAUGAUUCAUCUACUUUGAUUGAAAAUGUUCAUUUGGUUGAUGGUUUAAAGCAUGAUUUGCUUAGUAUUAGUCAAUUGUGUGAUAAAGGAUUUAGAGUAAUAUUUGAUAAAAGAAAUUGCAUAAUUGAAAAUGUUAGUGAUAGAAAAGUUUUGUUUGUUGGAAAUAGGGAUGAAAAUGUGUACACUCUUGAUUUGAAUGAUUAUCCUAUUAUUGAUAAAUGUCUUUCGGUUUUGCAUAAUGAUUCUUGGUUAUGGCAUAGAAGACUAGGACAUGCUAGCAUGCACUUAAUUUCAAAUAUUUCUAAAAAUUGUUUGGUUAGAGGUCUUCCUAGUUUUAAAUUUGAAAAAGACAAAGUUUGUGAUGCUUGUCAAAUGGGUAAGCAAACUAAGUCCUCUUUCAAAUCUAAAAAUGUGAUCUCUACUACUAGACCCUUACAACUAUUACACAUGGACUUAUUUGGCCCUUCUAGAAUUGCUAGCUAUGGAGGAAAUUAUUAUGCUUUUGUGAUAGUUGAUGAUUUUUCUAGAUUUACUUGGGUUUUGAUGAUAAAACAUAAGGAUGAUGCUUUGAAAAGUUUUAUUAGUUUUGCAAAAAGAGUACAAAAUGAAAAAGGAUUUUUUAUUUCCAAAAUUAGGAGUGAUCACGGAGGAGAAUUUGAUAAUGAUGCUUUUAAAGCUUUUUGUGAAGAAAAUGGUUUUUCCCAUAAUUUUUCCUCUCCAAGAACUCCUCAACAAAAUGGUGUAGUUGAAAGGAAAAAUCGUACUUUGCAAGAAUUUGCUAGAUCAAUGUUGAAUGAGUAUGGUUUACCUAAAUAUUUUUGGGCGGAAGCCGUUAACACCGCUUGCUAUGUUUCAAAUAGAGUUUUAGUUAGACCAUCUUUAGAUAAAACUCCUUAUGAACUUUGGCAUGGAAAAAUUCCAAAUAUUGGGUAUUUCAAAGUUUUCGGUUGUAAAUGUUUUAUUUUGAAUAACAAAGAAAAACUUGGAAAAUUUGAUUCUAAGACGGAUGUUGGUAUUUUUCUAGGAUAUUCCUCUACUAGUAAAGCUUAUAGAGUUUUCAAUAAGAAAACUUUAGUUAUUGAGGAAUCUAUUCAUGUUGUAUUUGAUGAAUCUUGGAAUAAUGUUUCUAAUGAGUCUAUUUGUAGUGAUGAUUUAGAAAAAGAUUUUGGAGAUUUACUUGUUAAUGACAAAGGCAAAGAAAUUGUUCCAAGUAUGCAAGAUGUGAACAUCAUAGAGAAGAAAGAAGAGGGUUCUUCAUCCUUGCCUAAAGAGUGGAGAUAUGCUCUAUCCCAUCCCAAGGAUCUAAUUCUUGGCAAUCCCGAACAAGGUGUCAAAACUCGUUCUUCUCUUAAUUUAUUUAGUAAUCUUGCUUUUGUGUCUCAAAUUGAACCUAGAAGUUUUAAAGAUGCCGAAUGUGAUGAGUUUUGGAUUUUAGCUAUGCAAGAAGAAUUAAAUCAAUUUGAAAGAAACAAAGUUUGGAAAUUAGUCCCUAGGCCUUCUAAUGCAUCUAUAAUCGGAACUAAAUGGGUUUUUAGAAAUAAGAUGGAUGAAAAUGGAAAUAUCAUUAGAAAUAAAGCUAGACUUGUAGCUCAAGGUUAUUGUCAAGAAGAAGGUAUAGAUUAUGAAGAAACUUUUGCACCGGUUGCUAGAUUAGAAGCUAUUAGAAUGUUGCUUGCUUUUGCUUCUUAUAAAAAUUUCAUUUUGUAUCAAAUGGAUGUAAAAAGUGCUUUUUUAAACGGUUAUAUUGUGGAGGAAGUUUACGUAGAACAACCUCCGGGCUUUGAAAGUUUUGAUUUACCUAAUCAUGUUUAUAAGUUGAAAAAGGCUCUUUAUGGCUUAAAACAAGCUCCAAGAGCUUGGUAUGAUAGACUUAGCAAGUUUUUACUUGAGAAUGACUUUAAGAUGGGAAAAAUUGAUAAUACUCUAUUUAUUAAAGUUAAAAAUAAUGACAUGCUUAUAGUACAAAUUUAUGUGGAUGAUAUUAUAUUUGGUUCUACUAAUUCAUCUUUGUGUGAAGAAUUUUCCAAGUGUAUGCAUAAUGAGUUUGAGAUGAGUAUGAUGGGAGAACUUAGUUUCUUCCUUGGUCUUCAAAUCAAACAACUCAAGGAUGGCAUCUUCAUAAGUCAAGAAAAAUACACAAGGGAUUUGCUCAAGAAAUUCAAAUUAAAUGAAGGUAAAGUUGCAAAAACUCCUAUGAGCACUACCACUAAGCUUGACAAAGAUGAAAAAGGUAAGUGUGUGGAUAUAAAGACUUAUCGAGGUAUGAUUGGAUCUUUACUUUAUUUGACCGCUAGUAGACCCGAUAUCAUGUUUAGUGUAUGUCUUUGUGCUAGAUUUCAAUCUUGUCCUAAAGAAUCACAUUUCCAUGCUGUUAAAAGGAUACUUAAAUAUUUGCUUGGAACUAUUGAUGUUGGAUUAUGGUAUCCUAGAAAUGUUGAGUUUAAUUUGGUAGGAUAUUCCGAUGCGGACUUUGCCGGUAGUUUACUUGACCGUAAAAGUACUAGUGGGACUUGUCAAUUUCUUGGUAGUUCCUUAGUAUCUUGGUUUAGUAAAAAGCAAAAUUCGGUUGCCUUAUCCACUACCGAAGCGGAAUAUAUUGCGGUUGCUAGUUGUUGUGCACAAAUUCUUUGGAUGAAACAAACUCUUUGUGAUUUUGGAUUAAAAUUUGAUAAUGUGCCUAUAUUUUGUGAUAAUACUAGUGCCAUAAAUUUGACUAAGAAUCCUAUUCAUCAUUCUAGAACUAAGCAUAUAGAUAUUAGGCAUCACUUUAUUAGAGAGCAUGUACAAAAUGGUCAUAUUACUCUUGAGUUUGUAAGUUCCAAUAAUCAAUUAGCGGAUAUAUUUACCAAACCUUUGAGUGAAGAAAGCUUUUGUAAAAAUAGGCUUGAGCUUGGAAUUAUUCGUUGGGAUGCAUCUUGAUUUUAUAUCUUACUUGAUAUUGUUACCGUAAUGCAUAUUGAUAGGGGGAGAAUUAGACAUUUUGUAUGUGUUCAUGUUUUUUUGGGAGAGCUAACUUCCUUGGUAUUGUUUUUGAUGAUUCCAAAGGGGGAGAAGUAUAAGAAAAAUAUGUUUUUAUCAAUUUGUUGCAUAAUUGUUUCUAUUGAAUAAUGCAUAUUUUUUUAGAGAAAAAUUAAUUAAGGACAAAGAAGGUUCUCUUAUCAAUUGUUUUCAAGUAUGAUCUUUGUGGUGAAAUAUAUACAUGAGCUUUAUGGUUAUACAUCUUGAUAAUAGAAUUACUUGUUGAUCAUGUGUAUUUCAAGUUAUUUUUCUUCAAUGAUUUGUCAUCAUCAAAAAGGGGGAGAUUGUUGGCUUUUUGGCCCUUAAUCUCAAAUUAAUUUAUUUUAAUUAUUCAAUUAAUUUAUGUUUUGAUGAUAACAAAUCUGAUUUUUUUAUUGACAAUUUUAUUAAUUUGAAUAGACCAUAUCGUAGAGCUUGGAAAAAUGAUUCUAACGCCUCUUGAAUCACCCAAAUCGAAGUUCAAAUGAAGAAAAUAUUGCUAAAAGAAGCUUAACGAAAAAAUACCCGAGAUGGUGACGUGGCGACCAAGCAUUCAAUUUGAACCAAUUAGAGAAAGCCACUUGGAGCAAUGAAGGAGUAACAAAUGUGGCUUUUUGUUAUGUUUUAUUGGCUUUUAUAAAGAAAAUGAAUUUAAAAGAAAAAUGAUUUUAAUAUUAUUAUUUUUUAUUGUGUCUAACGGCUAGUUUUUUUUAAAAGAGGGUGAAGUUGCUUUAUUGAUUUCUUUUUAAACAAAAUAUUUUGAAAAGACAUAUUAUUAUAUUAUUAUUUGUAUUGUGUCUAACGGCUAAUUAAGUUUAAAUCUCAACCAUUCAUUUUUCUUUAACUUAUAUCUAAUGAUCCAAAAUGAUUUUGAAUUUAUCUUUUCUCUUUUUUUAAAUACUUCACUUUUUCCAAAUUUUGAAACACAAGAUCAUUAAAUAUUUACAAUCCUCAAGCAAAAAGCCAACAUUGUUAUUCUCUCUAAAGCUUCCAAUUUUUAUUCUUUUCAUCUUAUUCUUGAGAGCUUCUUAUUGUAUUGUGAGGAUUAAAUUUGUGAGCUUCAAAUUGUAUACUCACUCUUUUAGAGAGUUUUCUUUUGUGUGAUUUAAAAAUUUCAACAUAUUGUAACGGUUGGAUCCUAACCCGUGGAAAGGAUCGAGUUUGCUCUUGAACCCGAAAAAGGAGCAAGAAUCGGUUCGGCUCAAAUCCGUGGAAAGAGUCCAAAGAAGAUUUUCAAUCAAAAUCCCAAGGGGUGCUUGGGAAAGUGGAUGUAGGUUGAGUUUAACCGAACCACUAUAAAAUUACGGUGUCUUCUUCUCUAACUCUUUUCUAAUUAUUUUUUAAUUUAAUUUUAGUUACAUAUUAUUUAUUGGUUGAGUUUGAUUGCAUACUUCCAUUCAUAUCUUUUUAUCAAUCUUGUUAUUUAACAAAGUUUACAAAGUUCUUUAUUUAAAUUUUAGAAAAUAUCUAAUUAGUUGAUUUUACUUUUUAUUUGUCAAAAAGUUUAUUUAAACCCUAUUCACCCCCCUCUAGGGUUGCCAUACCGAUCCAACAAUAGUAUGUGGCCUGUGGUGUUAAUUUCAUACAAUUUGUCACCAUGGAAAUUAAUGCAUGAAAGAGUUAAACUUUUUCAUGUCAUUGCUCAUUCUCGGUCCUAAAUCUCCAGACAGAGAAAUUGAUGUGUACUUAUAACCAUUAAUUGAAGAGUUAAAAAAUCUAUGGACGUUUGGUGUGCGUACGUAUUAUUGUCUAACGGAUCAAUAUUUUCAAUUGUAUGCAGCCUUGUUGUGGACAAUUAAUGACUUUUCAGCAUAUGGUGAUUUAUCCGGUUGGAGUACAAAAGGAUAUCAAGUAUGUGCAUGGGGGAUAGAUCAUCGUUCGGAAUACGCGAAAAGAUAACAUUCAUGGGACAUUGACGGUAUUUUCCAGACAAUUGUGUUUGGCGUAGAAGUAGACUUCAUGAUGAAAAGGUAGAGCGUAAAUCAUCUUCAGUAGUAAUGAAUGACCAAGAAAUAUUGGAACUAGAUUCUUUGGAGUUUCCAAUAAUGAGUAAGCAUCCUUCGUUAAAAGAUAGAAAAAGAGUUCUUAAUUAGACUAAGAAAAAUAUUUUUUUCGAUCUUCCUUAUUGGCCAAGACUACUUAUUCGUCACAAACUUGAUGUAAUGCACAUUGAAAAUUACGUGAUUUGGGCUUAGGGUACGAGACUAUCCAUGCUUGUAAGUAUGACUGUGUAUUGUUGAGACAUCCAGCCGAUGGAGAGGGAUGGAAGCACUUUGAUUCUGAAUUUCUUGAUUUUGCAUUAGAGCCACGAAACACACAAUUAUCUUGAUUUUGCAUUGAUUUGAAUUCGUUUCUAAUAUUUCAUGUGUGUGAAUGCAAACGAUGAAAAAAUAUCAGAUCUCAAAACGCACGAUUGUCAUGUACUGCUACACCGACUUCUUCCAAUCGGUGUUAGGGCAUUCUUACCAAAGAAUGUGUACACUGUAAUUACUGAAUUGUGCAAUUUUUUUCGUGAUUUGUGCGCCAUAACGAUAAGAAUAAGUGAUUUGGAUAGAUUGCAGUCAAAUAUUAUAAUUAUAUUGUGCAAAUUGGAAAGAAUAUUUCCACCUGAUUUUUUCAGCAUCAUGGUACACCUUGUAGUUCACUUGCCAUAUGAGAUAAAAGUUACUGGUUCAAUUUCUUACAGUUGGAUGUAUCCCAUUGAAAGAAGUCUCCACACACUAAAACAAUAUGUUCGUAACAAAGCACAUCCUGAGGGGUCUAUUGUAGAAGGAUAUCUUAUGAACGAAUCAAGUACUUUAUGUUCACGCUAUCUGAAGGGGAUUGAGACCCAAUUCACUAGAGAUGAUCGAAAUGAUGAUAGCAUUGAAGAAGAUGAGGUCAUUGGUGAGUAUGAAGUAUUCAUUCAGAAAGUACGACCAUUGGGAGCGUCACGUUUACGAAGUUUAUCGCAAGAAGAGAAAUGACUUUUUCUUUGGUACAUCCUCAGCAAUGUAGAUGAAAUAGUCGAAUACCGGAGGUAUAAAUUUCUAUACGUAUUUUAGGGUUUUAUACUUCGCCGACACACAAACUCACAAUUGUGUACUUUAGGAAACACCUGCUUCUAAUACGUCGUCGAGGUGAAAGCUUUUCUGGACUCUUUAAAAGACAUCAACGAGCAUUUGUCGAUUGGUUCAAAGCAAAGGUAUUUUGAGUGAAUGACUUUGAGCAUUUCUACUUUAUGCAUAUUUUAUACUUAUAUAAGUACUUUAAUGUUAAACCAAAUUUCAGGUUAUGGCAGAAAUGCGUGACAAUCCAAAUAUUUCUGAAGAUUUAUUUUCACUCGCAAUGGGAGCAUCACUUGAUGCCCGCUCUUACAGUGGAUGCAUUGUCGAUGGCGUACGAUUUCACGCGUUGGAGCGUGAUUCCCGACGCACAACACAAAACAGUGGAGUCACGGUAAUCGGGGAAGGGAGUGGAGGCAGUGCGAACAAUAGUUUUUACGGUGUUUUGGACGAAGUGUUGCACGUUCAAUAUCCAUUUGGACGACAUGCUUGGUUAUUCAAGUGUCGAUGGUUUGACACAAACAAAAAUAAAAAUCAUAUAACGCACGAAGAACUAGGCUACAGAAUAAUAAACACGUCUUGUUUUUGGUUCGCUGAGGAACCCGUGAUUCUCGCAACUCAAGGACAUCAGGUGGUCUACCUUGAGGAUCCUAAGAAUGGAAUCAAUUGGAAAGUUGUUCCAAGUGGUGCAAAAUGAACAUGUAUGGGACGUGCCAGAAGUGGAAUAUAUCGAGAAUGAUCAACUUAUUGUAAUGAAAAUCGCCGUCGAACAUCGGGUGGACGAACACAUCAGUGAGGAUGACACUCUGUGUAGGACUGAAGUUGAUCCUACAAUAGUGGAAAGACCAAAUGUUUGUCAUGUCGUGGAAAAUUUCAUAAGCGAUGAAGAUGACGAACAAUCAUCACAUCAAAGCGAGUCGUGCGAAGAUGAAUAACAAUGUUUUUUUGACAUAUACACACAUUUAAUCAUUUUUCUAUACAUUAAUUACGUUGUGAUACUCACAUUUAUUUGUUUAAUGUUUUGUUAAUUUUUAUGUAUGUAGAUAUAAAGUCCAACUUUCCGAAUAGUAUGCAUGAGCAAGAAUAUUUACUUAAUCUUGACGCGUUGGAUAACGCGGGUGGUUCGUCGUCAGUAGGCGACACUUCAGGUUCGUAAUAAUAUCAGCAUAUUUAAUACAAUUUAUCUCUCAUAUGAUCAUGUCUUUAAGUUUUGCUUGUUGUAUAUAAUCACAAUAUCGUUUUCAGUAGACCCCUCUCAUUCGACUCCCACUGCAAGGAGAGUAUGACGACAUUCUAGAAACAUAGAUGUCGACUGAUACGUACAGCAGAAUGGGAGAAUUCCAUUUCCAUCCCCCUCGAGGGUACAAACCUAUCUCACGACACGCCCCUCGUUUCAGUUGCACGAUCGGUGUGCUGACACGAGACACGUUUCCUAUUCAGGCCCUAAAGUGGGCAAAUGUGCCACCGGAGUGCAUCAAGGUCGUUUUUCUUUCAUUUAUUUUAAAUUAAUGAUUUUUGUCCAGGUAUACACCUAUAUCAAAUCCCGAUGCAAGAGGAUACUUUGAUUUACUAGUUAACGUAUAUUUUCCUUCACAAUCUUUUAGGGUUUUCAAAUCGACAGAAAAAAAAUAAUUAAUUUGAUCAUGGCAUUGGAGAAGGCUAAAGUGGUUGGUGUUUUUGUGUUCUUUACAGCAAGAGUUACUGUUCAUUUUGCUGUUCAGGUGAAGAGAUUUUUACUAAACUAGGAGUCGAUUUCAAGGCUAUUGAAUUGGACACUGAGAGUAUGUAAACCAUACUAGGGGUGAAAUCGGAUUGAGUUGGGUUGGGUUGGGAGACAUUCUCAACUCAACCCAUAUUUUCAGGUUAUUUAGGUUGGCAACCCGAAUAACCCAAAUUUAGUUUCCAAUCCAACCCAACCCACAUUGGGUUGGGUUAUCGGGUUGUAUAUAUAAAUAUUUUUUAAAAUUUUUUUUCCCGUUUUCUAGUUUCUAAUGGUUAUAAAAGUUUGAAAUUGUUACAUAUAAAUUUCAAACCUACAUAAUUCAAACUUUCACCUCUAAUUUGUUUUUAUUAAAAUAAUAUUUAUUUAUUUAUAUAUUUAUAUAUUAUGUUAAUUCGAGUUGGGUUGGAUUGAACCGAAUUUUUUAACCCUCCAAUCCGAGAUCCAACUCAAUCCAAAAAAAUUAAUUUUUUUAACCCAACCCAUAUUUUAACCUAACCCAACACAAUCCUUAUAAUAUGGGUUGGGUAGUCCGAGUUAUUCGGGUUCAACUCAUAUUUGUACACCCCUAAACCAUACUAGUUAUGAUGAUGUUUACACUAGUUACAAUCGUUUUGCUAUAUUUAUAAUUUUUUUAAAAUAUUGUUAUAUUCUUAAUUAUUAUUCUUAAAAUAAUCAUCGAUUACCAUAAAAUCUAAAAUGGUCAUCAACUACGAUUAACUCUAAAAUGGCCAUCAGUUACCAUUAAGGUCAUAGAUUACAAUUAGAAUUAGCUUAUUUUGUCCAGUUAAAUGCUCAAGACAUUAACCCGUUAACCCUACUCGUUUAAGAGUGGGCUCGGGCUAAUUCUAAUUGAUACUUGAAAAUGUUAAAAUGGGCCUAGGCCCAUAAUAUUCCGUCCACCUACACCGUUAUUUACAAGAAAUUCAAACCUCAUUUCACAAAGCUACCUUCCCGGCUGGUUAUGGCGGGUACGUACGGCUGCACCAUCUCUUUCUCCCUUCCUUCCAACAAAUUCACCAUUUGCACAGCCAAGCCACUGCUUUCAGUUUCAUCCUCCAUUUCCAUUUCAUCUCGUUCCAAGCUCCGAACAAGAAAAAAUCAUUUGCGUAUCAAAAUUCUCAAAACCCUAAAUAGACCUCCUCCUUUCUCUCUCUCUCCCAUUCCUCCUGAAACCCAACCUCCAACUCCGAUCGUCUCGCCGGGAACUUCAGGUCCUGUCGAUGUCGAGACCGAGGUUUUGUCUCCGGCGGAAUCCUGCCCUUCCUCCACGGACGGCGAAUCUCGCCUCUCCGAGAGCUCGAACAUUGCUUCGUUGUUUAAUUUUGACGUUGCCAAAUUUUCUUGGGGAAGUUUUGUCAAGCUUGGCGUUUAUUUGCUUGCUGUUUUUGCGUUUCAGACAAUUUGUACUGUGUGGGUCUUAGAAUAUGGUAGUUCGAUUAAGGAAGAUAAGAGUUCAAAUGAAGAUUUGAGUGUUAGGAGAAAAGGCGGAAGGGAAGUGUUGUUGAAUGGAAAUGAAGGAAAUGUCCUUGGAAAUUUUGGGUCGAAAAGAAACAAGUCGGUUUAUUUGGAGGAAACGAAGAUGAGAGAAAAAAUUGAAGAGAUAAGAUUGAUGGCUAGGGCAGCAAGGAUAGAGGAGAAAAAUAAAAUGUCUGAUGAUUUUGAGGACGACGAUAUGGAGGGUGGAAAUGCAAUUUCCAGAGCAAGGAUUGGUAUCGAGAAAGAGGUAGAUGCUCGACUUGUUAAGUUAGAGAAGAGGCUAAAUUCUGCCAAAGAAAAGAUAUCGGGUUCAUCGAUGAAUUAUUUGCUUAAGUCUGAACAUGUUGAGGAUGCAGUUGAAAGGAAUAGCUUCAAUGGUGAAGAGAGGAACGAGAGUCUAAUGUAUAAGAAAAAGAUGAAAUACAGAGACUCUUCUAGUCAUAGAAUCAAGAAGCCUGAGGGGUUUCAAGGUUUUGUAUCUAAUGGGAGAAAGAGUGGCUCAAAUGACAAGGGUGCUACAGUGGAAGGUGCAAAUAUUGUUGAUAAAAUGGGAGUGAAGGAUACUGAAAAACGGGUAGGUAACAAAAUCAUGGAUAGUGUUUCAGAGAUAUUCGAAGAUGAUGGCACAAAUUCUGCAAGAAAUGAAUUAGUAUUACCACAGAAAAAUGAUGGAACGAAUUUGGAUAUUGGAACUAAGGCUUCGAGUUCAAAGAAUAAGCUAAGUAAUGGUAAUGUCUCUAAAUUAUAAGAUACUAUUUUCGUCUAAUGGGUGCUUGUUUGUUUGUUGAUUUGUUAUAUUUUGAAUUCCUCAUUCAACAUUAAAGUACGGCUGUUCAGAACUUCAUAUUUGUCGUAUGAAAUAAUUAUGGUUUGUUUCUUAAGUUUUUAGGCGUUGUUCAGGAGUCUUCAGUUGUGAUAUCCAAGUCACAGAAUUUAAAAAAUGCAAUGAAGAAUAGAUCUUCUUCAGCGAGUUCAGUUGACAGUGUUGAAAAGAAAUCUAAGGCUGGGGAAGAUAGAAGGAAACAAUCAAACAAGAAAGCCGAUUUAUGGUGGUUGAAUCUUCCUUAUGUUCUAGUAAGUUAGAAAAUAAACUUCGCAUUUCUAUACUUGUGUUCUUCUUGAUGGCAUGAUUUUAAUUUAUGAAGACACUUCAAAUGCGACAAAUGGACGUUUGGAUUAUGUACGAGAUCAACCUUUUAGAUUUCAAUCCUGAUUCGCACACUUAGCAUAACAAGUAUUCCUAAUGAAAAUAGGCCCUUGUUUGAUAACACUUACGUUUUUAGUUUUUUUAGUUUUGAAAUUUAUGCUUGUUUCCUUUAUAAUUUUACCUUUCUUAUGGAAGCAUUUUAUUCUCAGCCAAAUUCUAAAAACAAAAUAAAGUUUUUCAAAAACUAUUUCUUUUUAGUUUUGAAGCUUGUGUUGGUUUUUGAAAGCAUGGGUAGAAAGGCGAUAAAAAAACAUAGAAGUGGAAUCAGUGUUUUGUGUUCAUAGAACAAAAAUUCAAAUUGGUUAUCUGCAAUAAAUUUAGUUGCUAUACGCAUGUAGUUAUAGUGCCACAUAACACUGGUUUAGGCAGAAUAAUUAUGCAUCCACGGAUAACAAAAGUUUAAUGUUUCAGAAGGGAACCGAGGGAAUGUUUUCAGCUAAAGAAAGGUGAAAUAUGGUGAAUAUACACCUCCUUUUGCUGGUUUGUAUCUCAAGAUAUGAAGUUUGAAAAAGUUUGGUAACUAUCAUGACUUGGUAGUAAAAAAGGAGACAGCCUCAAUAAGUGGUUAAGAGUUCAUGAGUUCAAUCAAUUGGUGGUCACUUAUUUAGAAACUAAUUUCUUAUUAAUUUCCUUCACACUCGAAUGUUGUAGGGUCAAAUGGGUUGUUCUGUGAGACUCGUUGAGGUGCGUACAAGCCAAAGGAGACAAAGUCUCAAUAAGUGGUUAAGAGUUCAUGAGUUCAAUCAAUUGAUGGUCACUUAUUUAGAAAUUAAUUUUCUUCACACUCGAAUGUUGUAGGGUCAAAUGGGUUGUUUUGUGAGACUCGUUGAGGUGCGUACAAGCCAAAGGAGACAAAGUCUCAAUAAGUGGUUAAGAGUUCAUGAGUUCAAUCCAUUGAUGGUCACUUAUUUAGGAAUUAAUUUCUUAUUAGUUUUCUUUACACUCGAGUGUUGUAGGGUCAAAUGUGUUGUUCUAAGAAACUCGUCGAAGUGUGUAUAAGUUGGCUUAGACACUUAGUUUUUUUUAAAAAGAAAAUAGACUGAACAGCACAUUAUGUUCAUUUAGAUAAAUAAAAGGCUCAUCUGAGGUUUGCAUUUGUUGCAAGAAUGUCCCAAUUCUUUCCGGUAAUGCAAUAUUAGGCUUGAUGUUUUGUGAAUGUUUCAAAACUUCCUCAUUAGAAAUUUGGGACAUGAAAUGGGAGUGGCGAUGACAUAUAAUGGCGUGACAAUGUUUAGGUCCCAAUUUAUGUCCAACAUUUUAAUAGAUUUAUACUUCAAAUUUAGUUUUGAAAUGUUUAUGAAUUUUUUCUUUUGGCAAUAUUGCCGUAGGAGUAUUUUCUAAAAAUAUGGCAUUGUCGAAGGGUACUUGUAAUUUAGACUAUAUCAAAUGUUCAAAAAACAAUGGAAAUGUCAAGCGCACAUGUUUGAAGAGUUUAUUUAUUUAAUUUUUAUUAUUUUGCAGAGAUCCAUAUUUCAACAACCCUUCUAUUAGUUUUAAGAGUUAUUUUUUAGCACUAUGAUCUUUUUUUUCUUUUCUUAACACUAAAAUGUAUCCAUCACAGAUAAUUGUUAUGCGUCAAGGUUCCGAUGGUGAAGAACUAGAUGGACUUUUCACCUUAAAGGUUCCUUCCGCGACACAAGAUAUUGAGGAAUCUACAUAUGCGGUUGCUUUUGAAAACCAUGUCGAUGCAAAUAACUUCUGUUAUCUUCUGGAAUCUUAUUUUGAAGAGCUUGAGAAUUUCACAACCGAUGUCAUUCCUCUGCCAACAAAAGUAAGAAUUCUUCAAUUUCAGGAUAUCUAUCUUCUUUUUCAUCAUUGAUUUGGUUUGGGAUUGUUCUAGCUCCUAAAAUAAUUGUUGUAGAAGUAAAUUGGUUUUUGGUAAAUGUAUAAAAAUCAUAAGAGGCAUAAUAUUUUAAUAACUCAUAGUAUUAUGUUGAUAUUUACUUCCAAAGUUUUUAUGGGAUAAUUAAUUUAAAAUUUUAUUUAAUUUAAUUUACAAUCUUCAAUAUUGUGUUUAGUCUAGAAAAUGUAAAUUCAAUUGAAUCCUUCAAAUGCAUGAAGAAUCAAGGAUGGAACAAAAACGAGAUUGUGAAGUGCGAAAACAAAAGAAAAGAGGAUUGAGUUGAAAAGGUGUGAAAAUUAAAGAUUGGGUCCAAAAGGCUGGAUUAAAACAUUAGUUUUGGAUUACAUUACAUUACAAACCUAUUACAAUACGGGCGUCCUAGGGCUCCAAUACUUAGUCAGCAAAUCCACCUUACACUAAAAGUGGUUAUAAUUCUUUUAUAAUCACUUUUACAUUCUUCCAAACUCACCCUAAGUCAAAAUCAUCCUGCCCGAUUGAUCAGCUUGUGUUUUUUAUUUCUUUGUUUGAGUUGAAUGAUUAUAGGUAUGAUAACAAUUGUCUAAUUGGUACUUUAUUCGUCGAGUCGUAAUACGAUGAUAAGUUCGUGGUUUUGUUUCUCCCUCAGGAGUAGUGUUUGUAUAUACAGUAACUUUCAGGUGUAAUCAGAGGGAAAAGUAUAACAAAAAGGAAAAGUAAAACCGCUAACAUUUUUGCUUGAUCUUUCUAUAGGAACUUGAGAAGUUCAUAAAAUCAAAUACAAGGAAAAUGAUUGUUGUGAAGAAGGGGCAACUCCAGCUCUAUGCAGGCCAACCGUUCGCGGAUGUUGAGAUGGCUUUGUAUUCUUUGAUUGAACAAAAUGAGAAUGUUAUUGCUUUACAUUCUUAGUUAGGAACCACAUGGCCAGAGGAACAUCCGGUUUCAUGUUCGAUCUGUCACCAAUGCAGCCAUCAAACCUGCCCAAGAUGUUGAAAAUUUGUAACUGAAGACGGGAGCUUAGCCACCAUUUCCCAGAUUUGAUGAUGAUAUGAAUUUCAUAGGAAAACCCGUAAGUUACUUUUUGCUUUAAUUAGUUGAGAGGGUUACGUUUAGAAUUGAAUUUCACUUUGACCCCACAUGGUUUUGUCUUAAUAUAUAUAUAUAUAUAUAUUGAAGCAUUUAUUCAUGAAAUCUUGGUUUGUCAGAGAUGAUUAUGGAAGAAUGUUCAUGAACGGACAAUUCAAGCAGAUAUUUUUGAACUAAAUUGCAUAUUUUAUUUGUGAGUUUCGAGCCGCUAACAUCUUAUACGUUAUGGUCGUGUUGUUAUGAUUGAUUUUGAGUAUAUUAUGAACAUUUUCAAGCUUUUAUGAAAUUGUAGAUUUUGUAGUUUUUGUUUCGUCAAGAUAGAUAUUUGCGAUUAAAUUUGUGUAGACGAAAUAAAUGUGGUUCAACGCAUCCAAUUAUUUUUUAAAAAAAGAAAUUUCGUUUUAUUAGUUGUAGCAAAACAAAAACAAACUCAUUAACUCAAUUUGCAACCAAGAAAUUAAUAGAAGAAACAUCAAACCAUGAACUGAACGAAUGAGCACACCAACUCAUUCUAAAAGAUUCCUAAUUUGACAUUGAGAAAUAUUGCAAGUGAAUCACUCAGUUGCAAGUCUCAAUUUCUUUUUGUUAACAUACUCUUUUUUUCACUGUAUCUUCAAAUACAUAAAUCUGAGUCAUUUCUCAAAAUCAAUUUCGUUUUUAGUUAAUUAAAUUUAUAAUUCAAACAUUUUACAAUUGAUAGUUUGAUAAGUCAUUCUUUUAGUAUCCCUAAAUUUGAUAACAAUAAUAAUAACACACACUUCUCCUUUCUGUCUCUUAAAAGUUGAAGAUUGAAUUUCACCUCAAAGAAGAAGAAAAAAAAAGGAAAAAAAGGAGGUUGUAUAAUUCUAAACCAUAAAUUGAGAAAUUUUAUACUCAUAAAGAUUAUAUUGACGCUUAUAAGUGUAUGAACUCACACUAGAAAAUUGGUGUAAAAUUGAUAAUAAUUGUAUCAAUAGACUUUCAUUUAGAAUUUACUGGGAGAAUAAAAUCAAUAUUUGAAAUAGUUGUGUGAUUAAUUGGAAUGAAAAAUAUGAUUUAUAAAAGGUGAAAACUUUUGGAAGACAUUUUGGAUGUCUCCCAAUUGACGUUAUGAUGCAGUGAAAUAGAACGUAGUUAGUAGUAAAGUUAGGAGCAAGUUGAGGCGAUGAGUUUAAUGACAAAAGGGGAUAUAAACAAAAACGAGAGCUGAAGUGACUUUUCUUCCAAACGGAGAAACAAAAUCAAACACCGAACAUUUUCCGUUCCCAAAAUUCUUCAGAUUCAAACGUUGCUCUCUUCUUCUCCAAAUCCAACACCCAAAUUCUUCUCUUCCAAAACUCAAAACACAUUCCCAUUCCAAUUUCAAUUUCUAUUUCUAUUUCAAUUCCCACUUUUCUCUUCCGAUUUCACUCUUUACUUCCCCUGUCCCACUCCUCCUCCUCUUCAAUCCCUCAACCUUUUCAACCUCAAUUCGCCCGCCAUACCUUCACUUCAGUUCAUUCCCGUUCCUUGACGUUUAGGGUUCUUCGUUGCCGGCUUCGCUAAAACCCUAGUUUUCAUCUUAUCUGAAUUUUUGUUUGAAAUUUGCUUUGUUUUAUGAGUCCUGAUGUCGUAGGGGUUUUCUUUUCAUCUCUGUUGUUUACUAAUGGGCGCUCGUACCAGCAACCGUAAGCGGGAUGAUGAGUGUUUGAGUGUUAAUCGUUCGUAUUCAUCUUUGAGAUCACCGGAUUUUCACGUCUCUAAGAAACCUAAAUUUUCUACCAUGUCUACGGAUCGGCCGGUUGUUUCAUCCAACUCUACCGUGGCUAGACUCUCUCGUUACCCUGAAGAAACUUCCCUAUUGCGUCGAGAAGUCCAUGGUCCUUGUAGAUUGUUCAAAUUUGGGCUCUCGAGGAGCAUCAAUAGGUUUUGGGAGUCUAAAAAUAGUGAUUUGUCGGAACAAGAUGAGGUGGGGAAUGUCUUGUCGUACAAUUACCAAGUUGCGAAGAGUCGUGCAAUUGGUUCGUUGCGGUCGUUCCCUAGGGAUGUUAUUGAAUUGGAUUCAGACUCGCAAACUGAAAAAGAUGUUUCUGGAGAUUCGAAGAACGAAGACGACGUUGAGGUAAUUGAAGAUGAAAACCAGGAGCAUAGGUCUCAUGAGGUUGUUACAAUGGAGGAAUUGGAUACGAAGGUGAUGGAUGUUCAUCAGCCGUCGUCGUCUUUGGAAGUUGUAGAUUUGACAAAUGACGAUUCGAAAGUUGAAAACGCUGAGAAAAUGCUUGGUGCUUUGUCAUUGAACCCGGAUAUGUCCAGCGUUUUGGCUUACAAAAAGUUGCUUCAGAGUGUGGAAAAGCGAACAUCGAGAUUGAAAAGCUUGGAUUUUGAAAUCGAGUUGAAUGAGAAGCGUCGGUCAGUUCUUCAAUCGCUAACUCCAAAAAAGAAGCCUGUUGAUGUAAGUUUGUCAUCUCUGCAGCAGAGAUAGAUUAAUUAUGUUUCUGGAAGAUGCAAUUUCCCCAUUCUUAUGCUAAUGAGAACUUAUUUGUUGUUUCCAGGAGAUUCCACAGGAACUUUUUACUCCUCUUACUAAGGAGGAGGAAGCCGAGGUUGAACGUGCGUUCUCGAGUAACCGGUACUGAUGAUAUACCUGUAAUCUUUCAUGUACUGCAUUUUGUUCUUUGUUUGACGUUUUUUUGACCGGAUAUUUAUUCAGGAGGAGGAUUUUGGUUGCUCAUGAGAAUUCAAAUAUUGAGAUUACUGGAGAAACUUUGCAAUGUCUGAGACCGGCUGCUUGGUUAAACGAUGAGGUAUAUUUGAAGAUUACAAGAAAUAGUGUCUUAUGGUUUACAAUCUUGAGAUUACUGGAGAAACUUUGUUGUAUUUAUUGUUUGUAGGUGAUUAAUUUAUAUCUAGAGUUGCUGAAAGAAAGGGAAAGAAGAGAGCCAGAGAAGUAUUUGAAAUGCCAUUUCUUUAAUACCUUCUUCUAUAAAAAGGUUGGUUUGCCUUGCUCCAUUUUCCACUUCAUUUUUUAAAAGCAAAUGUAGGUCAGUUCUUUGCCCAUUAAUAAUCUGCCAUAAGACAAGCCUCCAUUUAUUCGUUCAAUAUUUUGGCAAUGCCAAGGGAGUUUGGAGAGCUCUCUCUUUAUAAGGCCUCUGUAAUAGACCUUCACAAUGAACUAAGUUUCUAACUAAUCAAAUCAUUGUGGCCUCUCGAAAUCAUAGACACAACCACUCAAUUGCUAUGUCCACUCACCACUCUUUGCACAAAUUGUUAAUUUACCUUGAGAUGAUGAGGUUUUAGUUUGGUGCGUUUCUGAAAUUUACAAUAGUCGGUCAAUGAUAGGAAAUUGAGCUGCUUGACUUUCCUAUGUGGCCUACAUUUGGAUUGACCAUUCCAUACAUAUAACUUGGUUGGUAUGUUGAUUGGAGACCCUUUCUUUCAUUUGCCUCCUUUUGUGGGUUCUAUUUUUGUAACUCAUGUAUUCCUUCCUUUUUUCUCUAUGAAAGCCCAGCCAGUCCAUACCUGGAACUGCUUUUGAAUGAAUUAUUGUGUGGAAACAAGUUCGCUUUUAUGAGAGUGUUUUCAAUGGACGCAAUAAAUAGUAGUUGAAGCCUCCUCAACCUGUGUUAACAUUCUUAUAUUGUUUCUCCCUUGGACAUCUCUGUUUUCGCAUGUUAGAAAUAUAUACAUUUUUUUUCAAUCUUAAUAAAAGAGUGGUCUAAUUAGAAAAUACAUUUAUAUGUGCCACUAGUGAUGAUCUGACUCUAGCUUGGUUUGUUCUUUCUUUUAACAUUGCUAACAGUUAAAUGGAAGGAACGGGUAUGAUUACAGAUCUGUCAAAAGAUGGACCAGCCAAAGGAAGCUGAAAUAUGAACUCAUUGAUUGUGAUAAAGUAAUGUUCUGCCACCUCUAAACUCUAUUACACAUCUAAUCAAUGGCCAUUGAUGGAACAAUUUUAGUUCAAUUUUUACUGAUCCAUUUUAAUUACUUCUUUAGAUAUUUGUCCCCAUCCAUAGAGAAAUACACUGGUGCCUAGCAGUAAUCAACAAGAAAGAGAAGAAGUUUCAGUAUCUUGAUUCUCUCAAGGGAAUGGAUUCUCGAGUUUUAAAAACUUUGGUAUGUUUUAUCUUUCCUUUCCUCUCUGCAAUUUAUUGGUUCAUUUGUAUGGUUCAUGAACUUAUUGUUAUGGUAGCAUACUUGGCAUACUUGCUAUAUGGAAUAUCAUAAAUCCUAGUGACUUAGAAAUUGGAAUUAGGAACCCUCUGGAUACAUAUAUGAACCCCUAAUUCUCAAACACCAAUACUAAAACUUUCAAAUUGCUUCAAACUCAUUCCUAAGGUUUAAAUAAGACCUAAUCUCUUGAGAUGAAGGAUAAGUUUCUUGACCUAAGAAUCAAACACUCCACAGAAUGAAGAACAUACAAUUCAAAGACAUGAAUUGCAUAAAGGUCAAAAGGUUCUCAAACUAAGAGACUUAUCGUAAUAUGAUCUCUACUACCUAUUAAUGGGGCUUUAGAUGACUUCCCAACUAAACCUAUAAAUACCCAUCAUAAUCAUAGUAGAGAGACGAAAAAAACUCUGCUCGAUAAGCUCUAGAAAGGAUAGAAUUGACCACAAUAAGAUUGCAUCAAGAUUAUUAGAUAAAAUAUGAAUCAUAAUUUUAACUCCUUGACAAAUCUUAUCAAUUUAUUAGGUAAGGUUGAUAUGGCUGUGUGGGGUGUUGAAUCUGUAGUUGGGAGGGUUUAUUACAGUUUCAGAAAAGUGGUCAUUGAACAAAGGUGGUUGUGAUUAAGUUUUGAUAAAGUGGAUUACGGGGUAGCUUGCAUGUGGUUUUGAUGUUGUUAGAAGUGACUGGCAUUGUUGAGAACAAUUCGGUACAGGGUCUCCAGGGUAUGACUCUGCUUUAUGGUCACUUUUUCUCGGUAGUGAAUUUAGACAUAGUUAAUUUAUGGAUUUGAAGAGAGAGGAUUUGGUGAAAGUUAUCCAGUCUAGUACUUACUUUUUUAUUAUUAUUAUUCUUUUUAAUUAUUUUUAUUGAAAAGAGAGACAACGAGUUCACACCAAUUUACGUGGAAACCCGAGUACCGGGAGAAAAACCACAAUUGUUUGUGUUGUUAUUAUUUUCUAAUGAAUAAAGCAAUAGGUACAAGGGAGAAUAAAUAGAGUACACAAUGGAAUAAAAAAGGAAAAGAUUUAGGAAAAUAAGGAAUACAUUCCCAUAAUCUUUCCAUAAUUAUUCUAGGAUUCUAACAAGGAAAAAGCCUAGAAAAAAGGAAAGAAUUCCAACAAUUUUGUUGUCGUUGGCGUUGUUCUUGUUACUAAUCCUUUUUGUUUCUUUCCUUUUCCCUUUCUUUGGACAAAAGAAGACGAGUAGUUAUUCUUAUUUAUUAGUUUAGUUGCAAUUUUAAUCUUUGAUAUCAAAAUAUAUGUUAACUGCCAUGAGAUUAGAACGUUCUUGAAGUCAUGAGAUUUAAGUUUUGGUAGUAAGUGGAUGAUGGUUAAUAACUAUUUCAUUUCUCCCAUGAGAUGUGCGUAAAUUGGCUUACACAAAUAUCAGUAAAUACACACACACACACACAUAUACACAUUUCAGAUUUUAAGUUUUGGUUUUUCAUUUUUGAAAAAAUAAGGGUAUUUGACUAUCCCUAUAGUUUUCAGUUUCAAAACUUUGGAAUUUGAAAUGAAGUUUAAAGCUUAAAAAGACUUUUUAAUAUAUUCCCUACCAUAGCCAACCUCUGCUUUUAUCUCUCUCUACCACUUAUGUUUCUUUCUUUAACAUAUUCCCUCUCUCUCUGAACGUGCCCCUCUAUAAAAUUCUUCAUACUUCUUUACUUCUCAUGCUAUAACUUCUCUUUUCCCAUCUUACAUACAUUUCUCUUAAGUUUCUCUCCAACUUUUCUGAAAUUUCUUUCGAAUCCCUUCCAUCAAUCCUGGCAUUCCAAUUUAUCAUUUGUGUUGUUUCCACCAACGACCAACCAUGGGGUACAAGAACUCUGGAAAUUAAGCUGACUUAGACAUUCAUGAUUAUUAUCGUCUUUUUUAAACUCCCAUUUAUUUUAUUAUUCUUAUGACGUGAUAGUACAAGAGGAGGAUGUAUACAUUCAGGUUGCGCUCUUUUUUAUUGUCCUAUGCGAAUCAUGUUAUAAUUUUGAGCCUAUAUAUUCCCCAGGCAAGGUAUUUUGUAGAUGAGGUGAAGGACAAGAGUGGAAAAGAAAUUGACGUAAGUUCUUGGGCACAAGAAUUUGUAGAAGACCUUCCCGAACAAGAAAAUGGGUUUGUUACACAAACACCUUUUAAACUUAUAUUUCUUUUGCAUCUUUCAUUUAUAUUCUUUUUAUUCUGAAAAACAGUUCUUGAGAUGCUGUUGAUAGUAAAGUAAUUCAAAGUGAAAGUGUAUGUUCUUUUUUAUAUUUCUCCUUACAAUUCAUUCUAUUGAAACAGGUUUGAUUGUGGCAUGUUUAUGAUCAAGUAUGCUGAUUUUUAUAGUAGAGGUUUGAAUCUCUGUUUCAAGCAGGUAAAGAUUGUUGAAAGUUCGAGUUUCUGGUUUUCUAUAACAUCAAAAGUCAUUAUCUUUAGGAACCUCGAAUUGACCUAUAUUUCUAUUUUGGUGGAUUUUACCCAACUUUGUGGUCAUUUUCAACAAAACAUCAUAACAUUGCUUUAUUUACAAUGUUGUGACAAUUUGGAUUUGUGUAUGUUUCCUUUAAAUCUAAUGUGGGUAAAAAAAGUCGAUUAUCAAGAUUCUACUUCCUUUCUUGUAGGAACAUAUGCCUUACUUCCGUCUUAGAACAGCCAAGGAAAUUUUGAAAUUGAGAGCUAACUGAUAUGAGUGAAAGCGUCCGAGUAACCUGCUCAACCAACUAUGCACGCAAUUGCUCGAAAUUUUCUUCAUGAUGGCAGUUAUAGUUCUGAGAUUUUUUUGCAAAUUUUGAGUGGCAGCGGCUUUAGAUUGUACGUUUUGUAUCGGUUUCGAGUAUAUUACUGUAGAAGAAAGGUGGUUGAGUGCAGAAAGUGUGUGAGAACUUCCACUUCCAAGAACUAAUAAUGUGCUGAACCAUGUAAAUUUGGUAAGUUUAGAAAAGUAUAUUCACCCCCACGUAAAAGUGGUUUAGUGAGAUUCAUUACAAACUCUGUGUUAUCGAAUUAUUUAUCUUUUCUUUUUCUUUGUGUAUUAAGUUUGAUGUUUGUAGAGAUUAAAGAGUAACUGUAGAAGGAUAGGUCGCUCCUUCAAGCAAGGUUUGCUUUCUUUAUUUUCCCCCUCAAUGCCUUGGUCGUAAGACUAAGACAUGGUUCCAUUUCCUUCUCUUUCUUUUUUGGGAAAGAUUUAGAUUUUAUAUGAUCGAUCAGGUUUCUAGUGAUGAAUAAUAUAUACAAAGAUUUGAUGCCCAUUGCAAUAUUAUGACCUUCGAAAGUUUAGACCUAUGUCGUUCUCUUUUUUUUUCUUUCUUUUAUGAGUGCGAUUCAAUUUUGAAAAAUUUUAAACAUUUUUUUAAAAAUUGCAAAUGUAGUGAAGUAUUGAUAUUUGCAAAAUAAUUUAUUAACUUGAUAAGCUGUGUUAUAUUUUUGUAAUUUUUUAAAAAAAUAAUGUUUUUGUUUAUAUACGAUUCUAUUCUCUUUUAAGUUUACACUGACCAGCCAUUGUCUAUUUUUUAUAUAACUAUAUAUUUCUUUUUAACGAAAAAUACUCUUAUAUGAAUGCAUGGUUGAGUAUUACUCUUCGAUGAAACUGUUAGAUAUUGUUUUCUAUAACUCUUUUUCUAAAAUUCACUUCAUGAUGUUAACCUUACUUUUUAAAAGAAAAAACAAAAAUACUGUAAUCGUAAUUAUUAAUUCAACUUGUAGAAAUUUGUUUUAAUUUAGAUACAUAAACAAACAUUAGAGAUUUACCAUUUCAACAUAAAUAUUAAUUUUAAAUUGAUUUUAAAUAACUAAAAUAAAAAAGAGAAUUUUCGGAUUGAAAGUGCAUAGAAGAAGCCAAAAGGAUGCUUCGAAGCAAUCUGAUGUAAAAAUGAAAUGGCAACAAAAUGGAAGAAAACAAUAUCUUAACAUUUUCUUUCAAUUGAAAAUACUAGUCUUCUUACAUGUGAAAAAGAAUUGAACCCCCAUUUUGGCUGUUUUAGUAUGCAUUAAAUUCAAAUGGGAGCCUCGUUGUGAUCCUGGAAUGGAAAGGAAUGGUAGCUUGAACCUGCCAAACUAGGACGAUGGAUGAUAUGAAUACCAAACAACGAAAACAAAUGGUAUUUUCAUCGUUUAUCAUACAUAUUACAAUUACACAAUAAACAUUAUAAUUAUGUACCUCACGGUUACGGUUUGUUAGAAGGGGCUUGGGAAGUCGUAUAAAUGUAUGUGAAAGUGUUCACAAGAGAGGUCAGGGCAAAGAGGAGAAAGCAAAGCAAAUUCAAUUCCAAUCUCUUUUUCAAGCUCGAAAAUGUACAAAUCAAUUGAUUAAUGAUAUUAUGUAAUAUGAAAAGAGAAGAGAAUAAAGCAGAGGAGGAUACAGCUGAGGAGGAGUUGAAGACAUGAAAACAAACUCACACCCUUUUUAACGCGGUACUCUUUUUCGGCUCAGUAUCUCUUGUUCUUUAAGUCUAUGCUGGAACCUUGCAAGGCGUGCUUGAAGACUAACCAAACCAGCGGCCUUUCGAGACAGCACGAAACUCAACUGAGUCACGUAGUUCUCAAUGUGGCUUCCAGGUUGAUCCACUUCUGCCAACAGUUUCAUUUCCUGACAACCAACAACCACAAACACACAUCAUCAGUACACAUUGACCCUACCAACUAAGAGAAAGAGACCAACAAACUUGAUUUCAACAAGUUGGUGGUUCAAAAACACAUUUAAGUUGUCAUUUUUGAUUAAGUAAUAAUAGAUAAUGUUACAAGUUUAAUCUUUAGACUUCCCAAUAAACUAAACUUGUGCUUAAUAAAUCCAGAAGUUCAAAAAUUUCAAUCAGGUUAGGUGUCCUAAAAGAAUAAAAGGUCAUUAUCUUUUAAUUGAAUCUGCUAAGUUUCUAAAGCUUCGAUUUCGAAGGCAGUUUCUAAAGCUUCGAUUUCAAAGGCUAUAAUGUCUUGAAUUUUUAAGUCCCUAAAAUAUCAAAUGUCCUUUUUUAACAAAAAGAAACAAAGGGCAUCUUGGACAUUUUAAUAACUUAAUAAUGCAUUGGAUAAAAUUGAACAGUCAUAUCCUAUGAGGAGACAACUCAAUUAUGUCUAAUGUCUGUAUCUUAAAAAUCUCAAAUAAGUUGAAUACCAUUAGACAAAUUUGAGAGUGAGUUCCCUACUUUCAUGUUUAAAGGGAAAAUAGGGAACAAAAAAGCUUUUGGCUUUUUGUUUUUUCUAAAAAAGAAUCAGAAGGGACAGGGUUCCCAAAUCUAUUAUUAUAACGAAUCAAAUUUAACUACAAGUACUGGUAAUAAGAGAUUGGAAAUUUUUACUUACUUCUCGCACUAUCUCCAUGGUGUCCUCAAUUUCUUUUCGAUGAGCAGCGAUCAACGCCUCUUCUUCCUGCAACAAGGUAGAUAACACAGUCAAAAAAACCACCGAACUGGUGGAAGAGAUAGUGCAGUUAUUUUCUAUAAUGUGGUGAAAGACGAAGCUGCUUUCCUGGUAACUGAAUAUGCUUGCUGCAUAAGUGGAAAAAUAAAAGCAAAAAAACAUGCGCACAAACAGUCGGAUGUUAAGAGUAGCGAACCUCCAGUAUGGCAUUAAUAUUCCCAUCAGGAGUUGGCUCGGGUUCAGACUUUCUGAAUCCAGUAUCAUUUGCAUUAGAAAUUCCUGGACCAUACUGCUUGGAGCUUGCAGAUGAUACGUCAGGCACGACGCUAUCUUUCUUCUGCCAGCUCCCCGAUUUUUCUGAUUUUUCAUCUCGGGUUGAUUUUCUUCUGGGUGGUGAUACCUUUUGCACCUUCUCCUCUAUAUCAUUUAAGUUGCGGGAAUACAUGGGAAUCUUUCGACCCGUUGGAUCACUAUGAGUGCUCCUCAUUUCAGGUUGCUCCUUGUCGAAUGAUGCAGAAGUUACAGUUUCUCGUGCAUGAAAGCUAUUGCUUGAUGGCAAAGCAGUAGUUGGCAUGUCAAAGUUGGAAGAAGAGAGACUCUCUUUCUCAGCAACCCUUCUGCCCAAUUCCCCUAAUUUCACCUCUUGGCGCAGCAUAUUCGUAUCUUCUGCUUCAGUAGGAAUUGGAAUAGACGGGGCUGAAGAAACGUCUCUAGCUAUUGGUGCACUGGAACUAACAGCUGGAUCUUUUUUUGCAUUUCCACUUUUGGACAAACUUUUGACCCUGAUGUUAUUUGAUAGCAACUUAUAAGUUGAAUAUAUUGCUAAAUUUUGGAUGAUGCAAAGCCUAGGAUGUCAAAAAGCAUACCGGUCAGCAUAUCUCAAAGUGUUUAAAGUAUGUUCACAUGAACCAGCAUUUGGAGAAAUGCAUGAUAUCAUAACAGUUCUUGAAUUGCCAACAAAAGAAUCACGAAGCACUUCUGUGAGUUUGCUUCCACGGAAGGGUAUAUGAAUCUGAUCAUUGUCCAGGGCACGAAUGCAUUCCUUCAAAGCCAGAAGACUUUUGUUGAUUUCUGCUCCUUCAAUCCUGCAAAGGUUCCAGCAAAACAAAAUAGACAAAUUGCAGCAAAAUUAAAUCAGUGUACAAAAUUUAGUUGACGGGAAUAAACUUUUUGAUGACAGGAAUGUGUAUACAUAUAAGAAUAUCAGAAAAUAUAUUGAGUAGCAUCUUCUGUGAAACGCAAGAACUUCAGACUGGCUACCAGCCUACCAAAUAAAAUUCUUAGUGGAUGCACUAAAAAGACCAAAAUAAUUAACCAAGAUGGUACACUCAAUUCGAUCAGGCAGACAGUGACAUGCUUGGUAAACUCAUUGAUGGAAUGAUGGGUGACAUCUUUUACAACUGUGGAUAAAGAACCUUAACAAGAAGCAUAAGACCAAAGAUAUACGACAUCUGACAUACCUUGUCUGACGGUCAUUAUCGGUUGUAUCAGCACCUCUUUCACUACCAGCCAAAUCAAUAAAAGAGAUUUUCCCAACAAGCUUCCCACUCUUCAACUCAUUCCCGUCAUUGUUCCUUCUGGUUUCUUUAACUUCAGGAUGUUUCUUAAUAGCAAGUUGCAAUAUAGCAUGUGACCUUGAAGACUCCUCAUUGGCACCAGUGGAACCUGUACUCCUAGCU
rnacentral:lncRNA from 1 species